UUUUUUUCCUUUUUUUUUUUUUUGUUAAUAACAGCAAUAUUUAGAUGCCUAAUAAUUUAGUUUUGGAACUUCCAAGUUAUAACUUACUCAUCCUGACGGGUCCCAACUCUUUUGCCUUCGCUCUUAGCACAUGCUUCUGAAUCUUACCUGUGGCCGUCUUUGGCAGUGGACCAAAUAUCACUGAUUUUGGAACCCAGUAUGCAGGCAUCUUGGACCUGCAGAACUUCAUUAUGUCUUCAGCUAACCGUUGUUCAUCGGAUUUGUCCACCCCAGGCUUCAAGGUCACGAAAGCACAAGGUGACUCUCCCCACCGCUCGUCCGCCCUUGCCACCACCGAUGCCUCCAUUACUGCAGGGUGCAAAUAGAGACUGUUUUCCACUUCCACGCUGCUGAUGUUUUCGCCUCCCGAUAUGAUUAUGUCCUUCGACCUAUCUUUUAUUUCAAUGUAUCCAUCUGGAUUUUUCACACCCAGAUCCCCGGAGUGAAACCAGCCAUUUGCGAAUGUUUCCUCAUUUGCUUUCGGGUUCUUUAAGUAGCCUUUCAUCACAAUGUUACCGCGAAACACUAUUUCUCCAAUGGUUUUUCCAUCAGCAGGUACGGGCUGACCAGUUUGAGUACUAAUGACAUCUAGGCACUCUAAACCAACGUAUCGGACACCUUGACGUGCAUUUAGACGAGCUUGAGUUUCAGGUGGUAGGGAGUCCCAUUCAGGCUUCCAUGCACACACUGUAGAAGGACCAUAGGUUUCGGAGAGACCGUAAGUGUGGGUGACUCGGAAACCUUUCUGGGACAUUCCAGCAAGGACAGAAGGAGGUGGGGCUGCACCAGCUGUCAUUACACGAACAACAUGGGGGAGGGGCAGAAUGGUUUCCUCAGGCGGGGCAUUAACUAUGGAAUUGAGAACCACAGGUGCAGCACAGAAGUGAGUCACCCUGUACUUCGCGAUGGCCGAGUAUACGCCCUUCGCUGUUACCUGCAGAUACGAAAGAAACAAAUAGGGGCAUCAGUAAGCUUAAGCUAUGAUCAUAGAUAAAGCGCACAACUUUCGCAUCCACAUUGUUUAUAAUGGACUAAAGACUUCUCAAAGUCUGAAUCUCUGAACUGAAAUUAUGACAUACAUAAAAAUAGAACAAUGAAUCCAACACUUUAGAAUUUCUACAAAAUCACACCAAGAAACAAUAAGCUAUUAUUUAGACAAGAAAUUACCUGUCGGAGGCAUAUGUUAGUUCCACAAACAGCUGCAAGUGUCCAAGGAAAACACCAACCAUUACAAUGGAACAUGGGCAGAGUCCAUAAAUAUACAGCUCCUUCAUUCAUUUCCCAUAUAAUAGGAUUACUCAAAGCCAUUAGAUAUGCCCCUCGGUGAUGUAAUACCACCCCUUUUGGGCUGGCUGUCGUGCCGGAAGUAUAGCCCAAAGCAAUGCUUUGCCACUCAUCUUGAGGAGGCUUCCAAGCAAAGUCAGGGUCACCACUUUCUAAGAACUUCUCAUACUCAAUGGCUCCUUGCCCCAAAGCAUACUUAAGUGUUUCCGGGUUGCAGCUUUCGUCAGCAAUGACAAUAACAAGCGGAGGUGUGAAAUUGCCUUGGCUUUUCUCCUUCAUGAUUCUCAAAGCAUCCUCUGCCAAAUUGAAAAACUCUUGGUCCACAAUGACGACGGUGGAUUGUGAAUGACCCAAAAGGAAAGCAAUGGUUGAUGCAUUUAGGCGAAUAUUGAUGGUGUUUACAACAGCACCAGACAUUGGAAUCCCAAAAUGAGCUUCAUACAAAGCAGGAAUGUUUGGUGCAAUUAUGGCUACCUGCCAAUUUUUAAAAAAAAAAAUGAAUACAAGCAAUAGAACCAUUUAAGUUGCAUAAAAGACAGUCAUUAUAUAAAGAAUCCAUCCACAAUUCUCUGGAGCAGAAAUUAAUAUGCUUUCAAUCUAGUAAAUGAUACUCAGAUUUCUCAACUAUGUAUAAACAUAUAAGAAGUCAGUACGUAACUAAUCCACCAAAAAGAAAACCUUAAAAUUCCAGAUUCAAUAGAUUAACACAACUGGCAAUCCCCAUAUCAAAUUUGGGCCACGCAUCAAGCAUUAAAAGCAGUAAACCUUCUAUCUUUUUUUUUUCCAAAUUAAAAACUUCCAUCUUAUUCCACUAAUAAUACCAUAAUAACAAGUAAUGGAACAACAGCAUGGGACCAACGAGACCGGCUAAUACUAAACACGAUUCCAUGAAAACAUUAUGACAUACAUGACAUGAUACAAAUGUACCAAAUGUUUCAAAAAUCAUUAUAAUACAAAUUAUUAAUAUAUUAAAUUUUAUAUAAUAUAAUAAUAUCUUAAACAUUCACAGCAUAGAUAUAAACGUCAGAAGAUACAAAUAUACAAAAUGUCUCAAAAUCUAUACAAAUCCGAAUUAUUAUUAAUAAUAUAAAAUAUCUUACUCUGCAAAUCACACCGAUAAAUACAUGAAUUACCAGAUUUAGACCAACUCCACUCCACUAUACAAAAUCUAUGAGUAUAGUUAUACUACUAAAGCUUACUAAUAAAAUCUAAAAACUUUAAAUUUGACAAGGAAAAAGGAAAAGAAUUCUUCCUUUUUUUGUCUUUUUCUUUUUUUAAAGUUUGUUCUCUUUAUUCAACUCAGCAAGCAAAAAAACGUUAAAAACUGACAGAUUUCACUUUAUCCGAAUUUUUUCUAUCGUUAUCGUUAAUAAUGAUGAUAGGCGAUGGAAAAAAAUUUGAUUACCGAGCUACCAACGCCGAUGGAGCUUUUGGAAAGAGCUGAAGCCAAGCGACGGCAACGCUGGUAAGUUUGGAGCCACGUGUACGUUCGAGAUCCAUGGAUCACCGCUUUUCUGGUGGGAUGAACCGUGGCGGCUCGUUCCAAGAACCACAACGGCGUCAAAGCCAUGUAGUUAACGGCGUUCUUUGGAAGGUCGUCGAUGUCUCGCAUCUCCAUCACCGUCGAUACUCCCUCUCCGUCUCCUUCCUGUUUAUCCAAAAAUGAAAGAAAAAAUUCAAUGCUGAGGUUUUGAAGCUGAAAAAGUGAAUCAUUCGUAGUCAGAAUUUAUAGUAGGAAUUGUACGAAACCGCCACGUAGAUUUUCUGUUUAAAUAUAUUGGCGAAAUUUUUAUAUUUAAAAAAUGAAAAAAAUAAUUAUUGACAUUAACAUCACUAGUACUUUCUAUAAAAAUUCAUUUAUUUAAAGGUAUAUUUAUUGAGUUUAUUAUUUGAGUUAAGAAUUCGUAUGGAUAUAUUAAAGAUUUUUAAAUGGUAAGACUAUUGCUUUAAUUUUUUUAAUGUAAGAUUAAAUUUCAAACUACAAGGAUUGAGGAUAAAAUUUUACCUUUCUUUUUAAUUUUUUUAUAAGGUAAAUUUAAAGAAUUUUAUCUCAUAUAAAAAGAAAGAAUGUGAAUUAUCAAAAUAAUAUAUUUUCAAUUUUUUUAGUGUAAAACAAAUAUUUUUUUUCCUUGUUUUUACAUAUACACUGUAUCUAUGGGUUUAUAAUUUUAGAAAAGAAAGUUCCUACUCUAAGGGAUCAGAAAUGGAAAUAUUUGAUGUUUAUCCCAAACCGUCAUUAAAUUUGAUAUACAUUGAUGGUAAUAAAUUUUACCAUUUAUGUCAAUACAUUUUCUAUAUUUUAAUGCUUUACUAAACGAUUUUUAAUGUAAAAGUGUAAUUAUAUUCCCGUAAUUAUAAAUAAUUGUAAUUUUUUAAAUGUGUUUAACUGAUAGAGUAUAAUUUAUAUCGUAAUUUCAUAUGUCAUAUUUGAUGAUACAAAUUAUAAUUACACAGUUAUAUAAUUUAUAUUUUAAAAAAUAUUAAUUACUAUAAAAAUAUUAGUAUGAACAUGUAAUCAAAAUUAAAAUCAAAUCACCAUAUAUAUUAUGUUAGUAUAAAAAGAGGAAAUGAUAAUAGGGGUGAGCAAAACUCAAUUUGAAAAAAUAAAAUAAAAAUCGAAUUUUUAAUUAACCGAAUCAAAUUGUUUGAAUUAUUCGAGUCAACUCAAAUAAAUAUUUCCAGUUUUGAAUUCGAGUCGAGUUCAAUUUUACAAUUCGAAUAAUAGAUUGAUGUAUAAAUACCCUUUUGGUCACUAUCAAUUUUGAAAAUGAGUAAAUUAGUCUCUCUCUGAACAAAAAUUACAAAAUAAUUUAAAAUAAUUUUUAAAUUUCAAAAUAUUUAUAAAAAUUCUAAAAUAUAUCUAAAGAAUAUAUAAAGAAAGUUAAAAUUUUUAAAAAUUUCUAAAAUAAUAAUUUUAGGGACCUAAAUAAGUUAACUAAUGAUUCAAGUUUAUCAUACUAAAAUAUAUUAUUUUUUAUUAUUUUGUUUUGAAAUUUUUUUAAAUAUAUAUGGUUUUAAAUGUAUGUGCUCUAACAUGAGAUUAGUUAUACUGUAAUAAGAUUUUAAUUUGAUAUGUUUAAUUUUUUAAUUUAACUCAAACAAUUUCACUCGAUUUUAUUUGAUUCGACUCGACUUAAAUUUCAUUUUACUCAACUCGAUUAAAAAAAUUUAAAUCAAGUUAAUAUGAUAAAAUAGGACUGGUCAACUCGAUUAACUCGAAAUUUUUUUCACUCGAUUCACAAUUUUAUCUAAUUAUUCUAAUGCAUAUUUGUUGGGUUAUUCCAUCUUUAAUAUUUAACAUAUGUUCAUUAUCAUCAUUUGUUGGUCCUUGACUAGGUUAAUCAUCAUCUGAAUUUGAAUCUGUGUCAUUAAGGUUAUCUAGAUCUAUUUUUUCCAUAUAAUCUUUGAAGUAUGAAUAAUCUCAAUUCUGCCUAUAAUUCAAAUUAUGAAAUAUGUAACAUACUAGUAUGAUUCAACCUUGUUUUAUGUUAUACUAAGGUGAUAUUGUUAAUAUGGAAAAUAUAUUUUUUAAAACAACAAACGUCUCCUCAACCAUAUUUCAAAACAUUAGAUGUAUCAAAUUAAAGAGUUUGUGAGUUGUCUAUGGUACUUGUGUCUAACAUCAUUCUCUUAAAUGGUAUUAUACCCUACAAUAUGAUACAAUAACUUUUUUUUUUGUAUUUGCAUAAUUAACACCAACUUUAUAAUAUUUAGGUUCAAAGUCCAAAUAGAAUAGGCUUUAAUUAUUAAAUUUUAUAUAAAUUUAAUUUGAACAAACACUUAAGCUAUAUCCCUUUUUAUAAUAUGUAAAUUAAGUCAAAAUAAUAUAAAAUGCAUAAUAUAUAACCUUUAUAAAAAAUAUUUUAUAAAUUGUUCAAUAACUUUCAAACACUUCUCAUAAAUAAUACUUUUUUGCGAUAAUUUUAGAAAGUUAUUUUUUAUAAAUAAAUUAUAAUUGAAAAAUUAUAACAUUUUUUAUGUAUAAGUAUAUUAUUUCUAUAAUAUAUAACAUGAACACAUAAAUAAGUUAUGUACAUACUUCUCGACCAUAAAUUUUUAUAAAUAUAUAUAUUAUAACAAUUUUAUAAUAAUCAAAUUAUUUUUUUCUAAAAAUUUUUUUAGCCUUUUAACUUUAGAAAUAUUUUUAGGAUUUAAAUAUUAUAUAUUUUUUGCUAUAACUUUAUAAAAUGUCUCAACUAUUUUUAUAAUAUAAAUUUUUAGGAUUUAUAAUAUAAGAAUUUUUUUUACCAUAACCAACCGAAAUAGUUAUACAUGUUUAUAAUAUAAUUUUUAUAACUUCUAUAAAAUUAUUUUUUAAAAAUUGGAUUUAAGUGUAAUUAUUCAUGUAUGUCUCCAAUUCUCACCCUCCUCUAAGAAUUAAAAAGUGUAAUAUGAGUGCUCCAAUUACACAUAAUUUAGCGGGACCCAUCAAUCGCCAUGAUUACAUAAACUUGUCAAUUAUUAUAUAAUUACAAGCAAUUACACUCAACUACAAUUAUUAAGUAUUUUCCAAAUACUAUCUAAAUAAAUUUUGAUAUGGAUAAGGGAGUGAUUAUAUUACAAAAAAUUAUAUACUAGAGAGCCUAAAAUAAAAUUUUAUAAAUUAUUUUGGAAAAAAGAAAGUAAAGUAGAAAACUAAAAAACAUAGGCCAAUCCAAAGGGGCUGCCUUAAAUUUCUGCAAUUAUUUUAUCUAUAUUAUUAUUAAAAAUUUUCAAAAUUACAAAAUAUUUAAAAUAAUAUUUAAAAUUUAAAAAAAGUUAUAAAAUAAAAAUUACUUUUAUAAAAUUUUAAAUUCUUUUAUUUUUCUCUUAUUUUACUUUAAAAAAAGUUGUUUUAAAUUUAUGUGCUCUAAUUUGAGAUUUAAUUAUAUCAGCAAUAAAAUUUUAAUUUAAUUUGUUUAUUUUUUUAUUUAACUUGAAUAUUUUUAUUCGGCUUGACUCAUAUUUCAUUUCAUUUCAAUUAAAUUCACAAAAAUUUUAAAAUAAGUUUGGUUAGUAAAAUAGGAUUUGUCAACCUUUAACUUGAAUAUUUUUUUUACCAAUUCGGCUCAAUUUGGUUAAAUGCUCACUCUAAUUUUAAAAAUGCUAAUGGAGUUAAUAUCAUAAAUCAACCCAAUAUCAAAUCAAUUAGAGAAAUAUAAAAGAAAAAAAAAUCAACUUUAGUACGUGAUCUUAGAUGAAUUUUUUAUGAAAAUUAUAUUAGAUUAAGUUAAGAAUAAUUGAUAUUUUAUUUUAUUUUAAAAAUGACAUUAAAUAAUUAUUGUAUUUAAAAAAUUGCAGAAUACAAAUAACUCUUUUUAAAAAAAAUACACUACCCACUUAAAAAAAACUUCCUUAUCCAAAAAUAAAUUACUAAAAUCCAUCUUAUUAUUCUUUUUAUUUUGUAAAUAUUUUUAAAAUUUUCACCAACUGAUUGUAUAAUGGCUAAUUUUAUUAUUAUUGUUGUAUUAUUAUAUAAAAAAAUAUAGUAAAAUUAUAUUUAGACCUAACAAUAUUUUAUUUAAAAAAUAAGAAUUUGAUAUAUUAAAUUUAUUAACACUUGUAGUUGAUUUUUUUGGUAGAAAUUGUACUAAUAUUUUUCAUUAUAUGUUAAUAAAAUAAAAAAUAAAAAAUUUGGGUGAUUACAAUAUUAAAUAUAAAGUCAGAAUUGUUGAUUGUACUUAAUCUUAUUUUUUAUUUUUGUAAAAUGAAAUAAUUCUAUGUUUAUUUAAAAUUUUAUAAAUGCAACAUUAAUUAAUUGAACAUUUUUUAUAAUUUUAUUUUAAAAUUGAAUAGUCUGAACUACAAUUUUAAAUAAAUCUUAAAAUGGAUAAGUGGUGUUGGUUUUAUAAAAUUUUAUAUAAUUUUUCCUCAAUAUAUAUGGUUAUCUUUUUUUCUACACUGAAUUGUGAUAUUAUAGUUUUUAAAUAAAAAUAACAGAAUUAGUGAAUGGAAACAAUCACAUCACAUCACAUCAAAGCCAUUCCUAAUCGCCCACAGAUUUAUUUCUUUAUGAGUUUCACUGUAUACUCACAAGCGGAUAAAUAUACGUAUCAACAAUUAUAACAUGAGAUUAAAUAAAACAUUUUCAAGUUUUAUUUUCAUUUUUUUCGUUUACAUAUAAAUAAAGCCCAAGCCAAUGAAACUUUGCAAUUAAAGCAGAGGCUUUCAAUUUUCUUUUGGGGUAAAUAUCCACAAUUGAUGAAUACAACAGUUAAGAAGACAAGUGGAUGGCUUUAAAUAACAGUAUUUAGAUUGUUGUUAUUAUAGAUCAAAAAAACUAUUUUUAAGUAAAUGAUUGGUUUUAAUGAUAGUUAUUAUUAUACAUAAAAUAAACUCUUAAUGGGUAGAUUUUUGGAGUCAAAUAAAAAGGAAAAAGUAGUUUAGUGUUAUAGGUUAUGGAUCAAAGUCCGUGAUCAUUGCAUAUAAAGUUGCUUAUAGAGGUCAAUUGAUUAAAUGAGAUACAUGAACUAGCUCGAUUUAUAGAACACAUGGAGAAGCACAUCUACUUGAAGUCUUGUUGACCCAAUGAAACAUUCUAAUAAAACUAGAGUUAUCAUGAUGAAUAUUGGUAAUCAUAAGGGAUAAUAUUAUAUAGAGUUUAAAUCCCUUGGGAUUCUCAUCUUGUAGAUAGGCUUUAAUCUCGACUAUUAAUGUAAUUUAAAGUGUACCAUUGGAUCUGGGGGAGCUCAACUAUAAAUAGGGGUAUUCCCCCUUAUUUGUAGUCAUUCCAUUUUAUACUCAAUGUAAUUCAUUCAAAGUAAUAUAAUACUUUGAGAGCAUUUACUCAAACACUUGAUGUGCAUUUGUUUUCUUGUGGCUUUUCUUUUCGUUUAUUACUUCUUCGCUUGAAAGUUUGUUUCCACUUGUUUUUGGUACCUUAGAGAAUUUCCUUUGAGAAUUCUUACAUUUCUAAUGUUAUGCUGACUUAAGCGGAUGUGAAGCAAAAAAAUUGCCUAAGGCCGCACGAGUCUGCCAUACUAAAGUUCUAGCCCCAUGACAGUUGGUAUUUAGAGCCAAGGUUUGAAGGUGUUGAGUUAGAUGGCGAAAGAAGUACAUGAUCAGAUUGAGCUGAGGGAGACCCAUGAAAAGGCCAAGAAAGUAAGCAGAUCGAGGGAUAUGCUAUCAGCUAUAGAAUGUCGAGUGACCAAUCUCGAGGUAUCUGUAAGUGGUAUGAAGGAAAGUCUUGAUAUAGUUGGAGGACAUACCAUAGGGUUGGAAUCAUGGAAAGAUCAACUCAAAUAAUAGGUGUUGGAUGCCAUGAACAUGAAUAUGGAUGAGAUACAAAGGGCACUCCACUCCACUCCACUAAUAAUAAGUUGAUUGAGAAGAAUGAUGCUCUCUGUCACACCCCAAAAUUGGGCCUAAGAGUUUUAGGGUUAUUUUAGGAAUUUUAGCUCUAGUGUGCUCGAGUAUUUCGUAAGCAUGAUAUUCGAAAAUGUUUUUGUCUAUAGAAUUUUGAAAAUCAAUUUUUUUUUGAAAAUAAUGUUCAAAAGACUUUCAAUUUUGAAAUAAGGACUAAUUUGUAAAAGAGUCUAAAUUAUGAGUUUUAAAAGGCAAUUAAACCAAAUUUUAAUUUUUCACCCUAUUUUCCCCUUUCAUCUUUAUAAAAUCCACGUUAGUCUCUUCUCCAUAUUUUUGUUUUGCCAUCCAUUGUAUUCCAAAGCCCAAACUUAGUUCCUUAGAUUUCUAUCAUUCCCAAGUCAUAAAUAAAUCUCUAUAGUUUUUCAAGAAAAAUAUCCAAAAACACCAUAGAUUUCUCCAUUGCUUAACUUUCGGGUUUUUCGAUCAAACGUUUAGUUUUUCGUCAACUAAGAUAAUGAUUUGAUUCCUUAUUUGUUUUUGAUGUUAUUUGAUUUGAGUUUUUAGCUAUUAAAUCGCAUUUUUUAAAUAAAAGCCGAAAAUUGGAUCGUUAAUGGUGGAUUUCAGGAUUUUGGGUAAAAACGUGGUUUCAAAGUGUUAUUCAAUUAGUUUUGACAUGAUUAAAAGGUUUCUAAACUUUUUUUGAAGUUUUGUUAAAGAUUUAUAAUGUUUUAAUGGAUUUUUGUGAAAAUUGCCAUAAACAUGUUGAAAAUUUUGAUACCAUGAAUUGAGUAGUUUUGCGUUGUUUAAAGGUUGAAAAUUAGCCAUAGGCCAAUAAAUAGAUGAACAAAAUCAAUUUUAGAUGAAAAGAUUAAAUAUAGACCGAGAUAUUUAGAAUUUAAGUUUGCUAUGUCGAAGGUUUCGAUUACUUGAGAACUUAGCUUAGGCUUAUGUUUUUGAUUGCUUGAGUUGAGUCCUUAGCUGAUUUUUUAUUGUGUUGUUGUGUGAUUUAAUGUGUUGAAGCUUUGAAUUCAUUAGGACUUUUAACAAGUUAAAGAAAGGCUAGUUUGAGAUUUCGGCUUUUCGACGAAAGUGUAAUUGGUAAGUGUUUAGAAUAAUUGCUUAUGGACACGACUCAUUACAUUAAUUGGGAUUUUAGAUGUAGCCUAAACCCCUACUCUAAAUUCUAAGUGUAAGCUUUCUCGUACUCUUAAUUUAAUAUUGCUUGUUAAUUGUAAAACUGUGAACUAAUAAGAGAUGUUAUAUUAUAUGAUAUGUGCUCAUGAUUACCUUUGAGAAUGUGCAAAUGUGAGCAUGCUAUACAUGCUAGAUGAUAGUAAUAAUGUUGUGUUAUAAUGUGAUAUUUGCCGUGAAUAAGUGCGGUGAACGGUAAGUAAAUGUGUGUUAAUAACGAAUACUUUGACCUAGUGAACUUGAGACCAUUGGAUAUAGUUGGCAUGCUAUAGGAUUAUGAGUACUCACCGAUAUGUGUUAUGUGAUUUGGGCGUUGACAUGUCGGAGAGAUAAGGGAAUGUAAGCUAAGCUCCAUUCAAUAUGACAUGUUUGGUAUGAUGGAGAGUGUCAGCUAUAUGCUUCACCUUUUAAGAUAUGUUCGACUCUAUGAGUCAUUUGGUGUGUUGGAGAUCCAUGUAUCCGAUGAGUGGUGAUAGAGCCCAUUUUUACGUUUCAUAGCUCAAAUGUCAAAUUAUUUUUAAUUGUCUUCAUGUGUAAUGUGUUAUAUGCCUAAACAUGAAUGUGAAUAAUAUGUAAAUGAGCCAAUAAGUUAAAUAUGACUAAGUAUAAUAUGACAUUAAAGUUGGGACUGUUGUAAUUGUGCUAUAUGAUUGUUUCUUUAAUGCAUGAUGACAUGUUUGCAUGGUAAUUAUUUUGAUCAUUCAAUGAGCUUGUAAAGCUCACCCACUAUUUUUAAUCCAUUUCAAAUUAUAGCAUUUCGGUGUGAGCGGUGUGGUUCCAAGGGAUUGAUCCAAGUAAGUCUUUAGUAAUAUUUUAUAGGUGAUUUAUUAUUUGUUUUUUAUUUGGGAAAUAAAAGCAAUGUGGUAGAACUAUUGCAUAAGUGUUGCCAUGAUGUUUUGGUUAUUUUCAUAGUUUAUUAAUUCUUAGGAUUUAUGGAUACUUUUCUUGUUAUGUCGCUUGGUUACUCGGACAUGUUUUUGAUGAUUGAACUAUUAUUGUGGUUAUUUUGAUGUUUAUUUGACGAGGUAUUAGUUACAUGUUGAAUGAUCUAUGGUUGGGAUGGAUUAUUUGCCUUGUUAUAUUGUAUUUUUGGUGUCUAAAGCAGAUGUAUCAAUAUUCAAAUUUUAAAAAUGAUACCUCUGUGAUAUUUCAUUGCGCAAGAAGUCAGUAUUGUAAUUUGGUAUCGAUACCUUAUCAUGAGUAUUGAUACUCGGGGUAAAAUAAUCGAUACUUUAAUAAAUGUACUGGUAUUUUUUGGGAUUUGAUUUUUAGAUGAGAAACAAAAUGUUGUUUUGAUACUGAUUUUCUAAUCGGUAUUGAUAUUGGGUAAGGAAAAUAUUGAUACCCAUAUUCCAGUAUCGAUACCUACAUAACUUGUUUUGGAAUUUUGCUAAAUGAACCCUAUGCAUGUUCAAUUAUAUUUAUAAGACUAUUUGAUGUAUGUUUAGUAUGUAAUAAAGAUGAUUAGAGUAAGUUUGACUCAAAACUCUUGCAUAUGUUAAAAUGGAAGACCUUUUUUUUUUAAUAAUAAUCUCAUUUAUACUGUGUAUGAUGUGAGAUGGUGGUGUGACAUCCUGAUAUUCAGGUUCGGCGACUAAACUGGGUAUAGGGUGUUAAACUCUCAAAGCUAUGAUGAUGGCUUUGAAGGGGGAAACUGAAGCUAUGGUGAUGACUUUAAACACAAAAAUUAAGGAGCUUGAGGGAAAGCUUGUUGUGUGUAGAGUUAUCGUGGGAAAAAAAAAGAUGUUGAAGGCAACACCCAAACUUAAGAUGGAUGUACCUAAAUCGAAAGAGUUUAAGAGGGCAAGAUCCGCGAGGAAUGUGGACAAGUUAUUUUGUAAGAUGGGAUUGUACUUUCAUGCAAUGAACAUUGAGGAUUAUGUCAUUAAUGUAAACACUGCUUCAAUUUAUUUUACUAAUGUCGCUCUUUUAUAGUGGCGUUGUAGGUUCACAAACGAGAAACAAUAUGGUACUGUAAUUGGGACUCGGGUGGAGUUUUAGAAUAAGUUUAAGAAGCAGUUUUACCUUCAGUAUGCGGGGGAGGAGGCUCUGGCUAAGUUGCAUCGACUUACAAAGUAAGGCACAAUUCGAAAGUAUGUUUGGGAGUUCAUUGAGUUGUUACACCAAAUACCUGAAUUGAGUGAGAAAGAGGCAUUUUACUAGGUCAAGGAUAAGUUUGAAGCCUUGGAAGAAGCAAGAGUUGAGUCGAUUAGGGAUUAAAGAGCUUACCAAAGCCAUGGCCAAGGUGCAAUCCUUUGUCAAGCUUGGUUCGAGGAAAUACAAGUUCAAGUCUUCCAAGCCUAAAGAGAUAGGCAGUGGUGGUGGAGUCUAUGAGGAAGAAUAGGAUAAAAUGACAACGGUGGUAAUGAGAAAUAAUAGAAUGGGAAGAGGAAACCCAACAAUCAUUUGAAGGGCAAAGAGAAUGAAAAGAAGCCAAUAUAGUGCUUCUUUAUUGGAUCUGGUGCCCUGAGUAUAGCAUUUUUAUCUAAGUACACUUGUAAUUUUUUUGAACAGGUUGAUUAAUAAAAUUGUUCAUGAAUUACAUUAGUACUUUGUAUAUUUUCCUUGCUUGUUUUUUACACACAAAGUAAAAUGAAAGCAAAUGUUUCUCACUGGUUGUCUAAUGUUUAACUAAAACUAAAUGGUAUUACGGGGUUGGAUCGUAAUACAAAAAGGCAACUUAUAUUAGUUGACGAACCAAAACAUGUCCUUAGUCUAAUUAGAAAUGAGCAAACCAAUUGAAAGACUAAUAUGUCGUCUAUCAAGUCCAAUUUGAGAGAUGCCUUAUCUUGUGCAUCAAAAUGGAUGACUCCCAAAAGAUAGAGACAUAAAUGUGACUGACUGGACUGGCAGUACAUCGGACAUGACCGAAACAAAAUAGAUCCUAAAUUGGUUUAUGGAUUUAUUCACUUGUGACGUUCAUAAUGUGGCAUACCUAAAUCCUGAGUGUAUGGCAGAUUAUGUAUGUGUGACUCGUACACUUUGAUGUAAGUAAAAUUCAGAGUUCGAAUAGAUAAGAAACCAAAAGUUGGUAUGUUAGGUGUACAACUUUUGUAAUAUGUAGCGUCAUUCAAAAUAGUGGAAUGCAUAGCCCAAAACAUGGGUAAAUGAUAUCCUCUCAUUGGCAUUACAUAGUUGAUGAAAAGUAAACGUGAUCACGGGUUGUCUGUCUUUGUGAUAUAUAACUUGAUCACUAUUUGAUAGUGAUUGACUUUUCAUGAAGGAAGAUGUAAUGAUUACCAUGAGAUAAAAUAGGAUCAUUGGAAGAAUGAAUAUUAACCCAAAGAGAUCAAGGAUAUCCUAUGAGGGUAACUUACUUAUAACAAGGUCAUUGGAUGAGCAUUGAUCAAGUUACUUUCGUAAUGGUAUGUCGUUGAAGAGAGCUCAAUCACGAUACUAUAGUGGAAUAACUUCGUGACUAAAUGAGUUUAUAAUCAAUAGAAAAAAAGCCAGAACUUAAUUAUAAAUCAUUUGAGCCUCAACUACAUAUAUCCAAUUGAUCCCUCCAUUAGCUCAUUGAAACCAUAAAUGAAUUGUGUGUUUAAAUAGAAACGAACAGAAUGAAUAGGAAAAGAGAAAUGAGAAAUGUUCAGGAAUGAUUAUGGUUUUCUUCGAAAUGGAGAAAUGGAAUCAUUUGAAAAUGAAUAUAGGUUUCAAAAAAUGGAAACGGAAAUGAAAAUGAAAAUGGAAAUAAUCCAUUUGCAAUCCUAUAUGGAUUACUUAAAAAUGAUCGGAAGAAUAAAUUUAUGUUUUUGGACUGCUUUGAAGCCCAAAAAUGAAAAUAAACCAUUUGGUCAUAGUGAACAUGUUGAAUUGUGAAAUAUUAAACAUAUUUUCUCGAAAUUUUCUAGGGGAAAAAUCAUCAAAAUUUUACUAGAGGUAAAAUUGUCAAAUUUUUGCUAGGGGUAAAAUAGGGAUGAAAAAAUUGUUUUAUAUAUAAAUAUUAAAGUUUAUUUUGGGAAAUAGAAAAACUAAAUCGGGUUGGAUCACAUUAUAGAGUACUGGGUCAAAAAAGCUUAGGAAGUACUUGUAAUUGGACCCAAUGUGAGAGAGGCCCAAAAACCACUCAUAGACAUAAAGGGGGCAGUAACUCUAGGAGGAAACUAAGGUGUGUCGUCUACCUUAGUACUAUUCUAAAUAAGAUUUUGUUUUUCUAUUUGAAAUAAACCACUACAACUCAACAAUGGUUCUACCUUAUCUUCCUAUAAAUAUAUGGCACUUGUUUAAUAAAAAUAUCUAUUCAUUAUAGUAACACCCUUUGUAUAUUGUCCUUAAUGUUUUUGCAUGCAAAACAAAGUGGAAGCAAAUAUUGACUUACUGUUUAUCUUACAUUUAACUAAUACUAAGCGGUAUCACAUGGCCGAAUUGUAAUACAGAUUGAUGGCUUGUAUUAGUAGAUGAAGCUAAACAUAUCUUUAGUCUAAUUGAAAAUGAGCAAACCGAUUGAAAGACUAAUAUGUUGUCUAUCAAGUCCAAUUGGGGAGAUGCUAUGUCUUGAGCAUUAAAGCGGAUGUCUCCUAGAAGAUAGAGACAAAAGUGACUGAUUGGACUAACAGUACAUUAGACAAGACCCAAGUAGAAGAAAUCCUAAAUUAGUUUAUGGCUUUAUUCACUUUUGACAUUCAUAGAAUGACAUACCUUAAUCAUUAAUGGAUGAUGAACUAUUUAUACGCGACUCGUAUAAUUUGAUGUAAGUAAAAGCCUAAGUUAAAAUAUAUAAGGAAUCGAAAGUUGGUGCAUUGGGUAUACGACUUCUGCAAUAUAUAGUAUCAUUCACAAUAGUGAAAUUCGUAGCCUAAUUAAUGGGUAAAUGAUAUCUUCUCAUCGAUAUUUCAUAUUAGAUGAAAAGUAAACAUAGCCACCGGUCGUUUGACUUUUUGAUAAAUGACUUUAUUACUGUUUGAUAGUAAUUGACUUUUUAUGAAAGAAGAUGUGAUGAUUAACAUAAGAUAAAAUAGGACCAUGUUGGGAGAAUGAAUUUAUCCUAAAUUGGUUAAGGAUGCCCUAUGAGUGUAAUACACUAAUGAUAAGGUCAUUAGACAAGCACUAAUUAAGUAGCUUUCUUAAUGGUAUGUAGUUAGGAAUAGCUUAGUCACGAGACUAUAGUGGAAUGACUUCAUGACUAGAUAAGUUUAUAAUUAAUAAGCGAAAAGUUGAAAUUUAAUUUAUAAAUUAUUUGAGCCCUAAUUACAUAUGCCCAAUUGAUCCCUCUACAAGUUCUUUGAAACCAAAAAUGAAUUGCAUGUAAAAUCAAAUGAAUAGAAAUGAUGAAGUUAAAGAAAUGAGUCGCAUUCACAAAUGAAUGAAUUUUAUCACUGAUUUUAAAAAUGACUUGAGAAUUAAUUUAAUGUCUUCAAAUUAUCAUUUAAUUAAUUUUAAUUAAAUAAUUUAAGUUCAAAAAUAGAAUUAAAUUAAUUAUUCAGUAUUAAUCCAUUGAAUAUGUAAAUUAAAUAUAUUUCAUACUAGUUUCUUUUAUAGUAAAAUUGUCGUCACUUUAUUUUAUAGUAAAAUCGUCAUUACUUUGAUGGAAUUAGAAUUGAGUUGAGAAAAUUAUUUACUUGAUAAAUUAAUUAAGUAAAUAAUAUUUUUUGGGGAAUAGAAAACAAAUAUUGAGUUGGAUUAAAUUAUAAAGUGUUGAAUAAAAAGUCUAGGAAGCACAUAUAAUUGGACCUAAUACAUGAGAGGUCCAAUUCUUCUCAUUUUACAUAUGAGGGACAACAACCCUAGUGUUUUUAUCUAGGGUGUGUCACCCCCUUUUUCUAGUUAGACAAAGAGAGUUAUUAUUAUUAUUAAAUAUACAUUUUGUGUUAUACUUAUUCAACCAAGAUUCUCCUAUCUCAUUCUAUAAAUAGAUGGCACUGGUAAAGCCAUUAACACAUAAGUUUCAAAUAUUGUUCUUAUGUCAAAAAGUAUAAAAUUUUAUUUUCUUAGAAUUAAAUUUUAUUUUUUGAAAAUAAUAAUUUCUACCGGUUUCUAUUGAGAGAAUUACUUUUCUAUUGAAAGUAAUAAAUCGUUUUUAUUUUUUUGUUUGGUUCUUGUUAUUCGAGUCCACACUCGAUGUCAUUCGAGGUACGAGGAUAGUGGAGAAGGUCGUUCGGUUGAAAACUGAGAACGUUUUGGAUUUGUCUUGCACAAAACAUUGAUAAUUUUCGAGAAAAUAUUUACUACUAUAAAUAUCACAAACCGUCUUGAUUUUAAAAAAAUUUAGACUUUUGUUGUAACCGAAAAUAGUUUAAAUAACCAAAAUUUUUCAACAGAUUGCUGAGUUAUUAGUGGGGCUACCACCUAUGAGAGGUGGGUUUUGCAUCUAACUUCACGGGUAAAGAAGUGGUGCAAACUGGGAAGUUAAAUCGAGUAAAUGCUACGAGCGAGGUACAUCGCAAACACUUAUCUAGUGUUUUUCAUUAUGACUUACCAUUUCUUUCGCAAAGACACAGGGGACUUUUUAGAGUUUUGAAGCAAGUAAGUCAAUGGGCUUACAAAACGGAGUUGGCGGCAAUACUCAAGGUUAACCAGUGUUCAAUGUGGGCAUGACAGAGCCUAUUUGUAUGGAUCAAAGGGAUCCCUAAUCAAGGAAAGUCACAAUAGGGGCAAGUAGGAGUGGUGGGCUCUUGCAAAUGAAGUGUAAAAAUAUGAGGAAUAGUUUGAGUUAGACGACGAAAACAUAAGAAGAGGUAAAUGCUCUAUUGGAUCUGGUUCCCUAAAUGUAGUAUUUUCACCUAUGUAUACAUGUAAUUUUUUGAACAGAUUGGUUAAUAAAAUUAUUCAUGAAUUACAUUAAUAGUUUAUAUAUUUUCCUUACAAUUUUUUUGCAAGUAAAGCAAAAUAAAAGAAAAUGUUGCUCACUAGUUGUCUAAUGUUUAACUAAUACUAAGUGGUAUUACGUGGUUGGAUUAUAAUACAAAAAGACAACUUAUAUUACGUGGUGGAAUGACUUCGUGACUAAAUGAAUUUAUAAUUAAUAGGUGAAAAUUGGAACUUAAUUAUAAAUCAUUUGAGCCUCAACUGUAUAUGUCCAAUCGGUUCCUCCGCUAACUUGUUGAAACUAGAAAUGAAUUGCAUAUUGAAUCAAAUUUGCAGAAAUAAAUAGAAAUGGUGAAAUAGAGAAAUAGAAAACAUUUGGAAAUGAUUAAGGUUUUAUCCAAAAUGAAAAUGAAAAUGUAGAAAAUGUGGUUUUCUCCAAAAUGAAGAUGGAAAUAGAAAUGGGAAUGAAAAUGAAAAUGCGAAAUGAACAAUAAUUUCUCAAAAAUGAUCAUAAGAUUGAGUUUAUGUUUUCGAGUAAUUUCAAAGCUUGAAAAUUGAAAAUAAACUAUUCGAUCAUAAUGAAAAAGUUUAAUUAUGAAAUAUUAAAUACAAUUUCAAAAAUUUUACCAAGGGUAAAAUCAUCAUAAUUUUAUUGAGGGUAAAUUGGGAUGAGAAAAUCAUUUAAUUUAAAUAUAUUGAAGUUUAUCUUCAAAAAUAGAAAAAUAUAAUUGGAUUGGAUCAAAUUAUAAAGUACUAGGUCGAAAAGUUAGCGAAGUACUCGUAAUUAGACCUGAUGUGAAAGAGGCCAAAAUCCUCUCUUGGAAUAUGAAGGGGCAGCAACCCUAGUAGGAAUACUAGGGGAUGCGUCCACCCCACUCCUACUCUAAGUAGGAAGUUAUUUUUCUAGUUGAAAUAAACUUCUACAAUUCAACAAGGUUCUACAUUCUCUUCUUAAAAAUAGAUGGCACUGGUAGAGCUAUUUACACAACUUUUGGAUAUCGUUAUUCUACCCGAAAAUAGAACGACUUCUAUUCUCUAAGAAAUAAAUAUAUUUUCUGGAAUAAUGAUUCUGCUGAUUUCUAUUUAAAAAGAGAAUUUUUCAUUUUAACCACAAAAGAAAAUAAAACUAUUUCUAUUUUUUGUGUUUAAUUCGAAUUGUUCGAACCCAAACUCGAAGCAAUUCAUGGUACAAGAAUAGCGGAGAAGAUCAUUUGGUUAAAAAUCGAGAACGGCAAGGAUCCUUUUAUUCGAAAACAUAGGUAUGGUUUCAGUCUAGGGUUUAUUGCUAUAAAUAUUACAAACUGAGUCAAUUUUUAAAAUUUUUAUUCUUCGCUAUGCAAGAAAACCAUUUUCGAACUAGAUUUUUUCCAACAUGUUCUAAGGAAAGGAACUACCCAAUACAAAGACUAGUUAGGAAUCAGCCAUGACAUUCAGGAAGUUCUUGGAUGAGUUAAACUAGUGUUAUUUCAAAAAUACAAUGAGGGCGUCGCGAGAAUGGGUGGGAGAAAUUUUCACGAGUCAUAGAUGAAAGCCCAUGACCAUUGCGCAUAGAAUUGGCCACAGAGGUCAAUUCUAGGCUCAUUUAACCCACACAAAUUGGCCUGAUUCGUGGAACAAAUUAAGAAGCCCAUCUACUUAAAACCUUGGUGGCCCAAUGAAACACUCCAGUAAAAUUAGAGUUACUAUGGUGAAUAUUUGUAAUCCUAAGGGAUAAGAUUAUAUAGAGUUUAAAUUCCUUAAGACUCUAAUAUUAUAGAUAGGCUCCAAUGAUACUAUUGUUUCGUACUAUUAUGGAAGAAGAUUCAAAUAUGUUAUUAGGUGUUCCAUUUUAUUUUCCCAUUAAGGCCGAACCUAAACAUGUGCUCAAGAGAUAGUUAUCCAUACACUGAAAAGGAUAUAAGGGUUAUUGAGAAGAGAAGAGUCAUGGUGGUCCCCUUUGGAUCGCCCAGAUCCCAUGAGUGAAUAAAAAGUUGGAUCUAUAUUGGAUCUCACCUCGAUCGUCAAUGUAAUUUAAAUUGUAUUAUUGGAUGUGAUAGGUGCUUAACUAUAAAUAGAGGUCUUCUCCCUCGUUUGUAAUCAUUCCAUUUUGCACUCAAUGUAAUUUAUUCAGAGUAAUAGAAUACUUUGAGAGCAUUUAUUCAAACACUUGGUCUGCAUUUGCCUCCUUGUGGGUUUCUAUUCAUUCAUUGCUUAUUCGCUUGAGAGUCUACUUUUGCUUAUUGUCAUCAAGUCGAGUGAUACUAGACUCAGUCAACCCCUUAAUAAUAUUAUAGAUGAGUAAGGAUUGUAUGAAACUGUGAUUCCACGUCAUCUAUGUCACUUUCCAAUAGGAGAAUGACAAAUCAGAUUUUUUCUCCUGAUUUUUAGCAUUUUUAGUUGGAUUUGAAUUCUUUUAGGAGAAAAAAUCUAAUUUGUCAUUCUCCUAUUGAAAAGGGAUAGGGAUGACGUGGUUUCACAAUUUCAUACAAUUAUUUCUAUAUUAUAGAUAGAUAAAUAGAUAAAUAAUAGACAUUAGAUUAGUAACACUAAGAAUAUAGGUAAAGAAAAGAAUUAUAUUAAAAAUGUAUUUAUAUAAAAUUUAUUCAACUAUUGAAUCAUAGGUGGAGUGAUAAAUUAUUUAGAUAUAAAUUAAUUUUGGGUUUAAUCCCUAGAUAUUUAGUUUCUAAUGGUGAUUUCUAAUUUGUUUUAUUUAAGCAUUUUUAUAAAUAAGAAAAUACAAUUAUAAUAAUAGUUAUCACUUUUUAAAAAUUUGAAUUGAUGGCUUGAAAUACUAAAUUCAGUAAAAACUAUUAUUACAGUAUAGAUACUGUACGUUCCAUACUUCUGGCAAAAACAGAUGUAAUAAUAAUCUAUACUACCAAAUAGAAAAGGAAGUCUCUAAAGCCUUCCUGCAUGACAUUUGUCCAUUGCCUUUUUUGGUUAAACCCUUUAAAAUGAUUUAAAUUUAGUUUUGAUUUCUACACUUUUUACAAAAUUUGAGAUUUAUUAUUUAUAUUUUAGUUUUGAUAUGAUUUUUAUAAUAUUAUCAUUUAGUUUAAAUAUUUUAUUUGAAUUAAAAUAUUAUUGUAAUUUUUUUAAGAAUUGUUAAUACAGUUAAUGUUUUUCUUUUUCUUUUUUUGUUAAUAUUAGGUUCAUUAAAAUGGUAUUUUAACAAUUUUAAUAACUGAAUUUAAAUUUUUAAUUUCAAAAAGUAAUUCUAAAUUUUAAAUAUACAAAAAAUAUAAAAACUUAAAAGCAUAUUAUAAUUUAUAAAUUUUUACUUUAUAAUUUAAUAAAAAGAAUUAAAUAAUUAAUCUAAUGAGAAGUCCAUACGAGUGAAAUAUUAAUCUCUGAAGAAUAAUCAAAUAUUCAGGAUUAAGUAUAGUAAUGGUAACAGAACGGAGCGGAUUUUUGCUUACUCUGGCUUGAUGUUCUACCACCAUGUCCCAACCUGAUCCUAACCUCAAAAAAAGAAAAAGAAAAAAGAGUUAACUUGCCUCGAAUCUGCACUAAAAAAUAAUUGUAUAUCCUACCAGAAUUCAAUUUUUUUUUUGAAUUUGUAAUGAAUUAAUUUUAAAAAAAUGGCACUACUUCCCAUUGAAUUUGUUGCGUUCUUUUUUCUUUCUAACUUCGAAUUUGUUGGGUUCAUGAUUUACUUUUGGAGCUACUGUGAUUUACAACAAAAACAAAUCUUGAGAUGCCUAAGUAACAUUUUGUGAAUGUUUGUGUGGGUGCGAUUUACAUUAAAAAGAUGAAAAAGAUAGGGAAAAUAAAUUGGUAUGAAAUGAAAGUAAAUCCAGUAAAAUAAUGUUAAUUUUUUUUAAAUAUAAUUAAUAUUAAAUAUAUAAAAGGACAACACGAAAUGCGGGGAUUUCACACUAAACCCAACCUUACACCAAUCCACCGGAAACCUGAUUUAAAAAAAAAAAACUGGAUUCAUGUACUCAAAACUUUUGGGUUGGUGGUCUUUUCCGUCCCUAAACUUUAUAGUUGAAAAAUUAGUGAUAACUACGAUCUCAAUUUGCGUAAACCAACGUGUAAUUGAGUAAAUAGUGGAACUUACUACAUCCAGACAAACAACAAUUGGGUUUGAAAUUGGCAUCUUAUCAUUCGGGAAAGUUGAAAUUCCAUUUUACUUCAUCACAGGCAGACAAAAAUCCUAAGUCGCCUAAUUUGACUAUUCAGCUUUGCAUCACAACUUGUAUAAAUGUAUAGGUUAUUCCUUAUAUUUAUUAGUUUGAAUUAAAUUAUUUAUUUAAUCAUUUUAUGUUGUAUAAUUCGGAAAAACUUGGAUCACAAAAUUUCAAUUUAAUGUCAAUAAAGAAAUUUUGAAAAUUUAACUUCAAGUUCCACCCAUUUAUAAUCAUAAAUUAUAAAUAAUAAAUAAGAAAAUUAAGAUGUUAUGUAAGAUUGCCUGGGACACGACCGUGUGAAAUUACUUUGAAUGUUACACGGUUUCUCACAUGGUUGGCCACACGGCCAUGUCCCUGAGCCACACGGCCAUGUGACCUCUAUUUUCAAAUUUUUCAAAAUUUUCUGUUUUUGUUUCAAAAUGGUCCUAGAAUGUUUCUAAAUUAUUUUUAGGGUCUCAUAGGCUCGAUUUAAAGCCAUUAAGUGUAUAUUAUUUUAUAAAUGAAUUGUGUAAAUGAAUGUUAGAAAUUAAAUUGAUUUAUUUGUUUCUAUUUGGGAUUUAAUGUUCGAAUUGUACUAUAAUGCUGCACAACUCUAAUCCAACAACAGAGACGGGAUAGGGGUGUUACAUCUAAAAUGAACUUUUUAACUUCCCAUUGUAGUUUUUGAGAACAAUGUCAAACACCUUAAAUUAACAAAUCACACUUUUUCACAACGCUUUUCUGUUGCACUUUCUAAAAGCACUUUUUCUAAACUGAGCUUUUCAAAAGCACUUAUCAAUUGCACUAGAAAUGUCAAAUUGGCCCUUAGCAUGCUUUAAAGUGCUCUUUUAGUGUGCUUAUUAGAUCCUAAAGGCUAUCUAGUACCUCUUCAAGAAAGAUUGAAGGUUGAUUUAGGUAAUUUUAGCAUAAGACUUGUGUCUAAGGCCACAAGUAACAUUCCUGGUAUUUUUCGAGAAGUGAACAAUGUCAAUUUGGGUUCAUAUGUACUCAAAAUUUUCAAAUAUGAAAAAAAUAGAAUUAAUAAUAUUAAUAGAAAAGGUGAUUGGACAUUUUAAGAAAUUAAAAGGACUUCUGAAUUUAGGAAAUUUAAUUCAAGGAAUUUACUAAAUUGUAAAAGUGUUGGGCUAUAGCAUUAAAACUAAAAAUAUGAAAUAAGUAGAUAAUAAGGAUUGGAAACAUAAUUAUAACAAAAGGGAGUGAUGUGAAAGGAUGAUGGAUAGAUUUUUUUUAGAAAUUAUUAAACUAAUGAACAAUAAUGUUUGGAUGUUCAAAUCCUUAUGGUUUUAACUAUUAAAAACUAACGUGAUUGAUGAAAUAAUUAAACAAUUACACGUAGCGUGUCAAAUGUACCUUAUGUGAAAAUUUUAAAAUUUUCAUAAAACUAAAUCCAUAUUGUGUUAUCUAUGACAAUAAAUUUUAUCAAAAUUAGUACUUGUGUUUUGGAAUCACAAGACUCGUCGAAUUCCUGACUUUCUACCAAAUGAUCUUCUCCGUUAUUCUCGAACUCUCGAUUGGUAAGAGAGUAAGCUCUUAACCCAAACUGAUCACAAAACAAAAAUAAUAACUUUCCAGUGGGAAAAAUUCAACUUUCUUUAGGUCAAAACAUAGAACCGAGUACUUAGAAAAUUUAGAUAUUAUUUUUUAACUAGUAAAUUUUUCUAAAUCUUGAUAGAGUGUCCAUGUAUAUGAUGCGUGUGUUUUUGGGUCACCCAUGGCCCCUUUAUAUAGAAAAAAAUCAUAAGAUUUCUAUUUGAACAGGAGGAGAGGAAAAAUAAUAUUUUAAUAGAAAACUCAGAGUCCCUCCAAGAUAACAUAUGGUGGGCGGCACUGGCACUUAGGGAUAUCAGUGUGCCAUCCAUCCCUUCUUCAAGAUAUGUUGUUUGAGCUUUUCAUAUAUGGAGUACAAUUAUAUAUCUAUAAACAAAUUUUAAUAUUAAUUAAAACAAGCUCAUAUAAUUAUCCAACCUAAUAAUCAGUUUUCUAUUCCCAAAAUAUUAUUUAUUUAAUUAAUUAAAAAUUAAUUUAUUUUCUCAAUUCAGUUUUAAUUUUGCCAAAGUAAUGAUGACUUUAUCGUAUUAAAAUUUAUGAGUAAAUAAAUUUAAUUUUCUCAUUAAGUUAAAAUAUGAUGACUGAUUAAUUUAAUUUUCAGUUUGAACUUCAAUUAUGUAAUUAUAAUCAAUUAAAUGACAAAUAAAAGAAACUAAAUUAAUUUCUAAGUCAUUUUUUUGUUCCUUUUGAGAAAAUGCUUACUGCAAAUAGUAAUUUAUGCAAUAUAUUUCUCUUUCAUUGUUUUCAUUCAUUCAUUAUAUCAGUUCUAAUUGCAACCAAUACAAGGUCGUGUUGAGUUGGCAGAGGGAUCGCUUGGACAUAUAUAUUUAGGGCUUAAAUAAUUUGUAAUUAACUUUCUACUCUUCAUCUAUUAGUUACAACAUUAUUUAGUAAUGGAGUCAAUCCACUAUAAGUACCAUGAUUGAUCUCUUCAUUAUAUACUAUCAUGAAAACAACCUAGAUUUAUGCUUUGUCCAAAGAUCUUGUCAUUUGUGUGUUAAUCUUUUAAGAUAUUAUUAGUCUUUUUGGGUUGUAUUCGUUCACUCAAAUAUAAUCAUAUUUUAUCUCAUGACCACCAUUGCAUUUUCCAUGAUGAAAAAAGAUUAUUACUAAUGAAUUAGAAUAACAAUCAUGUGUUCCCAUCGAAUAACCCGUGAUCACAUUUCCUUUUUCUUAAUUCAUGCAAUGUCAAUGAGAGGAUAUCAUUUACUUUUUUAAUUAAGCUAUGAAUUCUGCUAUUGUAAGAAAAUUCAUGCCAUACAUAAUGUUAUACCCAACACAUCAACUUUCAGCUCUAACAAUGACUAAGCUUAAGCUUUCAACAUGCCAGUUACAUACGCACAAUCAGUUAUUUACUUAGAAUUGAGAUAAACCACACUAUGAACAUCAAAAGUGAAUUUAUCUAUAAACAAAUUUAGGGUUAAUUCAACUUGGGCCUGGUCUGAUGUAUUGCCAAGCUAGAAAACCACACACGUCUUUAUCUUUUUGGGAGUCAUACGCUCUGAUACUUAAAACAAGAUAUCUUUCCAAUUAGACUGAAUAGAUGACAUAAUAGCCCCUUGAAUUAGUUUCUCAUUUUGAUUUGUCGGACUACAAACUAUUUAGAUUACCUACUAAUAUAAGUUUUCUUCCUACAUUAUAAUUCAUCCCUAUAAUGCAACUUAGUUUUAGUUAAACCUAAAGUAAUUAGUGAGCCAAUAUUUUCUUAGUUCAUUUUUUUUCAUGCAAAAACUAGAGAGGACAAAAUAAGAAAUACAAUAAUUAAACUAUGAAAUAUUAUUAACCAAUCUGGUAAAAAAAUCACAGCAUUAUGAUAAAAUAAUUGCACUAAGAGCACAAAAUCUCAACACAAUCACCUUAGCCAAGCACUUUUUCGGCAUGUCUCAUGCAUUGUAAUUAUUUUUACAUGAUUUGAAGAGGCAACAACUAAUGUCUAAUUUGUUGAAUGCCAUAAUAUGAUAAUAUCUUAGCAUGUAAAUAAAUAUCCCUUUUAAGAUAGACCUUUAUUUGAAUAUGAUAAAUAUCUAGUAUCAGCAUAACCAACUAAUAAAGAUGAAUCACUUGAAUAAAAUAACCUCAUAUCAGUGGUUCCCCUAAGAUAUUUAAAUAUAUGUUUAAUUUAAUUCGAAUGUCUAUAUAUUGAAAAAGAGCUAAAUCUUGCUAACAAGCUUACAACGAGUGCUAUAUCAAGUUGUGUGUUAUUUGCAAGAUACAUUAAUGGCCUUACAACACUUAGAUAUGGUACUUUAGUGCAAAGAAACUUUUCAUCAUUCUCACAAGGAUGAACCAAGUCUUUAUUCACAUCAAGUGAUUUUACAACCAUCAAGGUACUCAAUAGAUGUUCUUUAUCCAUGUAAAAUUUCUUUAAGAUCUUUUUUGUAUAAGUUGGUUGAUGGAUGAAUUUCAUCUUUUAUAUGCUUGAUCUACAGGUCAAGACAAAACUUUGUUUCCCAAUACCUUUCUUUUCAAAUUAAUUCUUUAGGUAAUCUAUUGCAUUUUAAAGCUCUUUGUGAGUUCUAGUAAUAUUUAAAUCGUUAGAAAAAUAAUAAUUAUCACAAAAUCUGAUCAAGAACUUUUUAUAAAAACAAAUAGGCAAAUUAGAUUAUUUUUAUAAUAUUCUUUCAACAACUAUUCACUAAAACGAUUGUACCACAUAUGACUAGAUUAUUUUAAUCCAUAUAAGGAUUUCUUUAAUCUAAUUGAGCAAUUUUCCUGAGAAUCUCUAUAUUCUUCAAGGACUUUCAUAUAAACUUCAUCAUCUAAUGAGUUAUACAAAUAAGUUGUAAUAAAAUCCAUUAGACACAUAUCAAGUUUUUCACAUAUUGUCAGACUAAUAAGAUAUCUAACAUAAUUGUAUAUACCAUAGGAGAGUAUGUAUCUCCAUAAUUAGUUUUGAGCUUUGUGAAAAUUCUUUUGCUACAUAUCUCCAUAAUUAGUUUUGAGCUUUGUGAAAAUUCUUUUGCUACAAGUCGUGCUUUAUAUAUAAUGAUCUCAUUUUUCACAUUCCAUUUUUUCACAAAUUCGCAUUUGUAUCUUACCAAGUUUAUAAUCUCAUUUGCAUUCAAUCCACAAAAUAACUAUUAUUUAGACGCCUUAGGUAUAUGCCGACACAAAAGAUAGACAUCACUACAUUUGAGUCGAGAGUGUUGUUGGAUGCUGAAUUGGUGAUCAAAAUUGAAGUACCUAAUCUGCACAUGGAAAACAAAAUAGUACGCUGAGUAAAACUCAGUGGUAUUUUUAUAAUUCAAAUAUUUAAAGACAAUAUAAUGUAAUAUGCAUAUUUUAAUUAUAAGCACAUUUGAAUAUUUAAGACCACAUUUAUUCAUACAAUGACAUUAGCCAUUCAAUAUUCAAUUCAUAAAUACAUCAUUUCAUAUUAUUCUCAAAUCUCAUCACUUGCUAUAUAAUAGCUUUUCACAAUUUAAUAUAUAUCAUUUAAACAAUAAUAUUAUUCAAACCAUAUCCAAUUCAUGAAUACGUAAUUCAUGUGUCUCAUUUUCAUGUUUCAAUUCACUAUCCCAUUUUUAUUCACACAAAAUAUCAUUCAAUAUCAAUAAUAGUACUAUUUUAUUUAAUUACCCCUAUUAACACGACUCAGACUCGGACGGAUACACAGAUCCAACCAAUACACCAGUUCGGCACCCAGUGCAUUAUUGGAUAAAUCUGAAGUAAUAACUGCGCCCAGCGCUACAUAAAUUUGACACCCAGUAUCUCAUCGGUUAAACCAAAGCAAAUUGGCACCCAGUGCCUCAUCGACUCAAAGUCGAAGAAAUCCUUGAACUCUUCCAAGCCUAUGGCAUGCCAUCUAUAUCAGGCUCAGCCUGAUACAGUUAAUAGGGUUUAAUUUCACUUUCCAAAUACAACUAAUAUUCAAUUAUCAUAUUUGCACAUAUAUAUUCAUUUCAAUUCAAAUAAUCAAUAUAUUCAUAAUAUAUAUAUCAAUUCAAUCCAUUUAAUUAACUUUUAAUUCAAUUCAAUGUCAAAGUGCUAAAUACUCACCUCAAUACUUACCAUAUGUAUUAAAUAAAAAAUACAACAAUUAAUAACUAGUUUCGGAUUAUAGAAAUACAAACCAAGAAUUCCGAGCUAUUUCACGUCAACUUUAUCUUUCUCUUUUUUAGUUGAGGUUUCCGGUACGAUGUUAGCUACGGGAUUAAAACAAUUAAAAUUUAUCAAUACAACAUAAUUCAAUUUCAUAUUGAAUAUUUCAAUUUUUAUUCAAUAUUUUCCUAAAUUCCAAUUUAAUCCCUAAACCGAGACUAAUUUUUAUUCUUCACAAUUAAUUCUAUAUUUUCAUAAAAUUUCCACUUUAAACUAAAUUUAACUCCCUAUUUUCACUUAAAUCCUUAAAUUUCAAAAUUUUCACAAUUUAGUCUCUAUAACUCAAAAUUUACAAUUCAUUCUACAAUUUAAUCCUUUUUCAUUUCUAACUUAAAAAUCUAUCCAUUUAAUCCCUAAUACUAAAAUUAUUCAACAUUAACAAUAUUUAAAAUCUCAAUAAUUGCUAAAAUUUCGACAUGAGUCGGGUAGUACUUAACACUGGGAUUUCAAAAACAUAAAAAUUACAAGAAAAUGGGACUAAAUUGACUAACCAAUUGAACUUGGAACUUUGAAACCCCUAAGUCGUAGGUUCUUCUUUCUUUCUCUUUUUCUUUUUCUUUCUUUCUCAUUCAUUUUGCUUUUGUCUUUCUUCAUUUAUUUUACUUAUUUGUUUCAUUAUAUUCACUUUAUUAUUAUAUUAUAUAUAUUUGCUUAAAUAUUAAGUAAAACAUAUUAUAAUAUAUAUUUUAACUUUAAUUUUUUAAUAAUAUACAUAAUAAUUUUACCUUAUGCUGCCUCACUAAAGAAGCAAUGAUAUAAUUUCUUCUUUAGUCCCUUUAAUUUUUCUUUAAUUUAUAAUUCAACUUUCACCCUAUAUGAAAUUUAGUCCUUAUACCUAAUUACUUUUAAUUCAUGCAAAUUCACUUAACCAAAACCUAAUUAACUACACAACUAGCUUCAUAAAUAUUUUUAAUAAAUAUUUUUGAGUCCGAUUUACGGGAACGGAGUUUCAAAAAUGCACUUUCUGACACCCCUGACUAUCGGGUCGUUACAGUUAGGACGACGAAUGGAGGAACGAGAAGAGGAAUAGGGAAAAAGGAAAAUGGAAUUCCAUUAAGAUACCGCUAUACGGUGUUACUGUGUGUAAGUCAUGAUGUGCGAAGCUUCAGGCCUUGCAGGGGACAUUUCAAUAUUCAAACAUCAAGCUUAAAUAUGAUAUGAAUCGAUAUCGACAUUUAUUAGGUUCCGUAAAGCAACAUCACGACCACAGCCAAUAGACUCUAUGAUGCGACAUCACGACGGCGAUAAGGUCUUAUGGGGCAACACCUCUAAAGAGGUCUAAUGUGUAAGACCAUAUCUCGACCAGUAUGGUCCUUGGGGACAAUAAACACGGGAUAGUCCGCUAGGAUAGUGAACACGAUGUCAUAGAUAGAGUGUGUAAGAUCAUGGCUUGACUAUGGCAAUAUAGAGAUAGCCCGUCAGGACAUUUAGAACGAGGUAGUCUACCAUGACAUUAAAUAUAGAGAAUAUGGCGUAAGACCAUAGCUCGAUUAUUAUAACAUAGAGAGUUCAUAAGGACAUCAGAUAUGGGAUAGUCCACCAGAACGAUAAAAGUAAGAAGUUUCCUAGGACAGUGAAUAAGGAAAUUCAUGUAAACAAGGAAAAUUACAAGUAUUGGCAGUCAAUAGCCAACUAGCAGAUUUGAGAAAACCGCUAAAAUGGAACAAAGGUAAUAGAAAUGGGAAAAGAUUGCCCCUUUGAUAAACAAGAGGAACAAUAAGGCGUAUGGCAACGACCGAGUUAAGAACUAUUAGGGGAAAGAUGUACCGUUAAUAAUUCAUGGAAAGACAAUGAAAGGGGAUCUAUCCGUAGGUUACGGUUAAGGAUCUGCCAUUAAGAACCUCCAUGAAGCCCUGCAUGCUAGUGAAAAUCCUUAAGAGGUUAUUGGGAAAUUCACUCUCGACAUAAACCUUGUCGAACUUAUAGUCUGAGCGGGGAAGAUUAAUCGUCUACUCUCUGGAUCAAUGAAUUGGUAAAAAGGGGUUAGUUAGAACCCAUCGGUAGGAGGAGACGCUAAAAAGGUUAGUCCAAGUAACAAUUACGUUUGUCAAGACUAUUCUUUUUUUAAGAAAGUCUAUUGUGAGUAUACCUGUUAAGGAGUAGUUUCAUGGGGAAAAUGUCAUACAAUAGGGAUUGGUAACUAGAGUGGUAAACCAAAUAUCAGUCUACUAGAAACUAUAAGUCCAAAUUGUCCAGUUGCAAACAGAUAUAUUACAUACUAAAACCAAUAUGUUGCAAAUAGGGCAGGUUACGAAGAAGUAAUCUGAAACAACUUUUCAACCCGAAUGUAGCGUGAAAUGAUAUUUAGUCUGCCAGAGUGGCAGAGGACCUCAUUAGUUAUCUCGACAGAUAGAGUGUUGGCAAGUCCUUCGGGACUCUGGUAAGUAAGGGGGACCGCCAUGGAUUAAAUAGAUUUGAAUAAUCACCUAGGAGGGAGCUACCUAAGGGCCAUUAGGAGGGUAGGCCGAAUGACUACCUUAUACGUACAUAGUGGAAAGAAGAAUCCACAUUGAGGUAUGAAUGAAAGAAAGAAUACAAAUACAGGAAGGGCAGAGUCCGUAGAUAUGACGAGUCAUCUAAGGAACCAUUGAAAUUAGUUAAAAGGUGACAGGAUGGUUUAUAGAAAGAUUGUUUAACAAUCUAAUCACAAUAGAUAAGUUCAAAAAACAAAUCAGAGACCGUCAGGUCAAGUUGAGAGAAGUUACCUAAAAAAUAAGUACGGAGUUAAUUGUAUUUAGUUUCCUUUCUUUUACUACCCCUACAAGGCAUGGUCUAUUUGUGAGAAAUCUAGUAAGAAACUCACAAAAUGCUUUUGGAACUUAUAGAAUUUUAACAUAUAGUUGUAGGAAUUCGCGGGAUAAGGAAUUCAAUGAGGGAUUAAGCCAGACUGUAUUAGAUCAAGGAUCUACGUCAGAAAGGUGUCAUGCACAUUAGAAAAAUGUGGUGCCUUCAAAGGUUUCACCUCAGGGUCAAAUUAUUGUAGUCGAAUAGUUCCCUUAGAGUUGAGAUUGGAGAUAGUAAACUUUUAUUUUGAAUUCGUUGUAUCUAUUGUAAGAAUUUUUAUUAACAAGUAAUACAGUUUGUUUUCAAUAUAGUGAGUUUAAAAUUUGUUGAUCAAAUUAGGUUCAUUUGUAGCACCAUAUACCCAGAUCCAGUGAUUGGGUUGUGUGAGGGUGUUACAACAUCAAGUGUGCCUUUAAUACAACCAAGUUUACAACCCUAAGGUUUAAAAAAAUGUCUUUAAAGUGCAUAAGUUGACUUGAGUUGGUGUUGGAAACAAAAUUGCCUCUGCAGUAUUUUUCACCCUGUUAAGCUUCAGUGUUGCGACAGACAAGCUUCGAUGUCACGACGUCUUCGAAAGUAGGCACAAUUUUGGCUUUGGAGUUCUCGAUGUCGUGACACAAAUUAGAUGGUGUCACAACAUCCUCAAUAGUAGCCUUGGUUCCUUCACUUCAACCAUCAACUGUAGAGUCACAACUUUAAAGGCUUAGAGUCGAGAUCGAGGCUCGAUUUCAUGACACAACACACUUGGUGUCACGACAUCCUUGAAAGACUGCUCCAGGUUGGUUUCUCGUUGAAGUUUUACUCCUCUGAGGUAAUGAAGGAUUAGUGUUGCGACAUCCUUUCAUUAGUGUCACAACACCCAAAGUAGUUGAUAUUUUCCUCAAGGUUUGGUCAUAGCCAUUUCCUUACACACACUCAAAUUAACCAUUAAAGUCCUAACAGCAUAGUUUUGCCAAUUUGGGUCUCAAAAGGAUUAAAAGGACAGAAAACUAUCAUUAACACUAAAAAGUAUAAGCGAACAAAAAGCAUUAAAAAGACUCGUCAAUUACUUGAGAACAAACUCAUCAAGUGUUCGCAAGAGCCUAAUUUGAUAUAUCAUAUUACGAUAAAUCAAUUUCUUAAUCUAUUUCUAUUUUGAAAGUAUUUUAGAAUAAUAAAUAUUUUCAUGAGUUAAUUUUGACCUAUAUUUUCUUGAGUUUUAUAUGUUUUUUUUUGUUUGUUUUCCAUUUCUUAUUAAGUAUUUUUCACUUUUAGAAGUUUUCGUCCACUCUUGUAGCACUUUUUUAGUCUUGCUUAUGAAUGUAGUCUCACUUUAUAAGUGAAUUUAGGGAGUAAGUGAAUUUAGGGAUGGUUUUUUCGUCGUCCUCUCUAGUUUAGUGGAUGCUCGAUUCUUUUGCUGAUUUUGCCCACCUGUCGUUUUGGACCAUCCAGGGCUAGUUUUCUUAUUAUGAUAGUUGCUUGCAAUCACUCUAGAUAUGUCAUGCUUGAGUUAUGGCAAAGCCGAUUGUUAACAUGUUGUAAUAUUCUACUAAUGUUGUGUUUGAAGUCUUUAUCGUGUUGAUAAAGCUUGUCCUUCAUUAUCGAUGAUGGGUAUUAAUUGUUUUUUUUUCUUGAUUUGUAUGUUAGUAGUUUGCAAUGUUAAUAGUCUCACAUUGCUAACAAAUUUAAGUAUAAAUUAUUUAAAUAUACAAUUCUUUGUAACCUGGAUAAUUGACUUAAGUGCCUAGCCCAUUGGAAAAGUGGACGAGUUUACCUAUUGGGCUUUAUAUAAAUAUUUUAAAGGUAAAAAUAUGUGCAUUUCGGACUCUUGGGAUUUAAUUGUUGGUGCAAAUAAUUUGUAUAUAUAUAAUUAUUAUUUUUUAUUGUCUGAAAUAAAUUAUAAUUAUUAUUUAUUUGCAUUUGAACAAUCUUAUUCAAAUAGACAUAAUUUCAAAAAAAAAAAGAAUCUUAAUGAAAAGCACGAUUUUUCUAAAAAGUUACAAUGUUACAGAAAAAUGUAACUUACACCAUAAGUUUUGUAGUAAGUGUCUAUAUAUAAAACUCAAAAAUAUCAUUUUCACUAUUCUAUUUUUGUUGUUGUAUUCUAGAGGCAAAAUUAAUAGUCUAUUUAUUUUCUUUUAAUUUUCUUUUCUUGCACCAUAAAUUUCUUUCUUGUACUAAAUUUUUUUUUAAUAUUGUAUGGUUGUAUUUAUGAAAUGAAUUAAUAAAUUUUUUCUUUAAAAAAUAAUUAUGUAUAAGCAUGUGAUAAAUUUGACAGUAACAAAGUAUAUGUAAUGCAACAAAUUACGCACUCAAAAAUAAAUAUAUAAAAUUCAUAAAUAAUAAGGUAAAUGUACGUUUUGAUAUUUGAACUUAGUUUUAGAGUUCAAAUUGGUACCUAAAAUUUUUAUUGGUAAAUGUAUGUCAAUUUGCUUUUAAGGUUCAAUUUAAUAGCUAAAAUUUAUUUUGGUCCAAAUAGGUAUGUGAACUUGGCUUCUCGGUUAAAAUUGGUACAUGAAUUUAGCUUUUUUUUUCAAAUCAGUACUUAAUUAUAUGGACCAAUUUGAACUAUAAAGCCAAGUUUAAAUGCCUAAUUAAACAAAAAAAAGUUUAAGUAUUAAAUUAAACAUUUAAAUGAAGUUUAGGUACCUAAAUAAAUAAUCUUAAAUACCAAUUUAAAUCUUGAAACUAAAUAAAAUAAAAUUUAUUAACAUAUUAUUAAGAAUAAAAUUAUUUGAGCCAUAACAAUUCAAGGAAAUCUCAAAGAAUCCUUGAGAAAUAAAAUAAAUGAAUCUUCUAUUUUUGCAAUUUUUAAAAAUUAUAUUCAUGAAAUUUAGAUAAGUUUUCCGUACUCCAUUGAUCUUUAGUAAACUUUUAAAAUGAAAUAAUUUUUUACUUAAAAAAUUAUUUAAGCAUACAACACUAAGAAUCUUUAGAAAAUUCCUAAAGUGCAGUCUGAAAAAUCCUUUAGUCCGACCUCCACCUCACGGAUCUUGAGAAUUUUUUUUUUUAAAUGAAAUAGAAUUUACAUUCUGAAUAUUUUUUAAUCCACAACACCCCAUGAAUUUUUAGAAAUUUUUUAACAAAUCACUUGGUUGGCACCUUGUAAAUCUUUUUAAAAACCGAAAUAAAAUUAUUUUUCGGAAAAUAAAAAAAUCAAUUUUAUAUUCCAUGUUUGGGCAAUAGACAUAUACACCACUCAAUCACAUACUAUUAGCUACAAUUUGAUAGUAAAAACAAGAAAAAGAAAAUCUCAAAUUUUAUACAACCAACACAAACUGCUGUAAAACUCCACAAUUGUUAAGAGCAAUCCAUUGUGGGAUUCACGCAAAUUGAAAUAAAUCCGCAUAUACUAGAGUUUGUUUCCUUUUUUCAUGAUGAUGUUGCAGAUGAGGGAGAAACAGUGAAGGGUUCUUGUUCUUCACAGGUGAGCAUAUCAUGAGGACCAGCUUCUUCUCGGCCAACUCCCAAAAGGUCAAGGUAAUAAAGGUAAUGAGAGAUCAUAUUGUUCAUGGAAUCACUAUCACCUUGACCACAAACUUGGUCACCAUAAAGAACAUUCAUGGUGGUUCCAAAACCUGGAACCCUCUUGGCCAAGGUGUCGUUCUUGGUUGGUUUCCAGUUGCCAACGAAAACGUCAUGGGCUGAGGGUUGGUGUUUCUUCAUCGGCGUCAUCCACCUCCACAUUGCUGUCUGGAAAGCCAAGGUUGCGUUGUCUUCUAAGUAUUCUGGGUGGUUCAACAAGUCCACCUUCAAAGCCUCUCCAGUUUCCCCAUAGUUGUAGUUCCAGUAGAUAGGCAAGGCACCACGGCCAUGAUAUGAGACUCCUGGUGUGCAAGGAUAGGUGUAUUUAUAGUAAUCAUCGCAAUAUAUUUUGCUAGGGCUCAUUUCUUUGUUGUAGCAAAGACCCCAAGCCAAUGGUCCCCCGGUAGCGACUCCAUAGCCACCUGAAAUUAUUAUAAACCAGAGCCAUUGUUCAAGAAUAACAAACAGUUAGAUAAGCCACAUUCGUUUACAUUGCUCUUGGAUGAUCAAAAGUAAUAUUAAACACUUUUAACUAAGCACAUAUUUACUUACAUGAAGUUUUGCUGCCGACAUGUCCAAGAAAAGCAGCGACUUCCUUCAUAUUCUGGAGCUUUUCCCCGGUGGUACAAAAUCCAUGAGGCUGAUACUGAGCAGCAGCAGUAAUGAAGGAAUGGUAAUCCCAGAACCCAACCGCAUGUGCUACCGGCGUGUUACGCUUCGCAAAAAGGUCCUCAAACUGGUAAGUUUGGAAGUAAUCAGAAAUGGUAUGGUUGCAACAAUACUUUGACCACCCUUUACAUUCCCACCCUUUGUCACACAGCUUCUUGCCCUUUACCAUCUUCACCAAUGGCUUCAACGAUUCCUGGCAGUUGGCCAGUGCCACCAGCAUUGCCGCCACUGAAAAAAGAACCAGCCAUUUGGCUUCCAUUAUCAAAGAUACAAAGCAAAAUGUGGUGGUCGUGGUUUGGGUUUGGAGUGGAGAAACCAACACUGGGAGUUUAUAGUAAAGAUUCGGCGAAUGUUUUUGAGUGCUGCAGUGAAAGUGUUAGAAAGUGAGGUUAGAACUGAUUAGGGGAAGGGCGAUUUUCAGGGUUGAUGAAUGAUGGGCACUCACACUCACACUAGUGUCAAGUUUUGCUUGCGUUUUAUGCUUCUUAGAGUGCAAGCAACGAAAAGCUUAAAGCAAAAUGUUGAUGUUCUAUUCUUACUCUGCACACUUGGCUUGGCUUCUAGGAUUCAUCGGUUCGGUUUUAAUCAGUUCUGGAUGAGAUAAAUUUUUUUUUUUUUUCAAAAUAUGAGCUUAAUUCAAAUCGCCAUUUUUAUCGUUUUAGAUUAUUGAUUAAUUUAUUUUUAAAAAACAGUUUUAUAUAACAUUUUAAAAUUAUUUUUAAAUUUAUGAACCGAAACCAAAAUCAAACUAAAUUUAAUAAAAUUGAAUCAGACCCUGGAAUUACUUUUCAAUUUUUCCAUUUCUUUCCUCAGCCCUAGACUGGCUUGGACCUGGACCACUUGGGGUUUUUUUGGGAUUCAUAAUUCAUUGUACUGAAACUUUUGCUUUUGGGCCAAAUACUUCUCAUGGGCUGGAUGAAAACAGUGUUUGGUUACUCUCAACAGGGGAUGAUGUCAUAUUUGGUAUCUAUUCUUUUAUAAAAUGUUUCAAUAUGAUAUUUAUAUUUUGAAAAUUUUUAAUGUAAUACUUGAACUAUCAAUUUAUGUAUUAUUUGGUAUUUUUAUUUUCAUAAAAUGAUUGAUAUUAUAUACUUUAAAAAUAUUAAAUGUGAUGCAUAAAAUAUCAAUUUGUGCAUUAUUAUAAUACAUAAAAUUAACACCCUAAAUAAAUCAUAUCAAGCCAAUUUCUUUUCGAGAUUUCGAAUGUUGAAAUGUUAGAAGACUAUGGAGGAUUUGCAGUUCUCAUUGUUAAAACAAAUUUUCAUCGAUGUUGAACGCUGGUCUCAGUUCCAUUUCAUACGUUUUCGCACAACUUGGAUUGAAGUUACAGGCGCUCCUUAGCACGCUUGGAACCUAGAGACGUUCAAAAGCGUUGCUAUUUAUUAGGGUGAUUUUAUUUCCAUGGAGUCUAACUCGCUUAAUAUCGGCUAAUCAGUUAAAACAAAUUGAGGAACUCAUUAUUCUUGAAUGUGGAGAUGAACAAUUUCCGAAGUUGGGGAUUCACAGCCUUUGAAUCUGGAGGUGGACGUGCUAAAUUUUCAUAAGGUCAUUUUGAUUUUGCUAAAGAAGAUUCGUCUGGUGGUGAAAGGAGUUGAGAGGUUGAAGAUACAUUUAAUGAAGAGGUGGGUAGUGAAAAACCCAAUAUGGCAGCUCGAGAGGUUCUAGGAAAUCAAAGGAAUUAGCAGAGAACUUAGACCCAACUAUUGCUAUUGCCUCGAGAAAUGAUUAGAACGAGGCUCUGGGCCUGAUUUGUUGAAGGCAAGUUCACACUUUGGUCACGAUCAAAUGGUGGGUUGCGGAGCAGAUUUGAAAGCUGUGAAUUGGUCGGCUGAGGAGAUUGUUGAUACGAAUUUAAAUAUGAUUGAACCUAAGUGGACUUGGGUUGUCAGAAAGGGAACAAUUCGGGUCGCGAAACCCUUUGCAAUUCGUUAGUUAGGAGUCCUACAAGUAGAGUUAGGGUGGAGGACUCCAUGGGAGUAGCAAUGCAAAACACUGUAGUGCAUAAUCCCUAUUCGACGAUAAUUACUGUUGAUGGUGUGAAGAAGAAGGUGAGAUCAUUGGCAGAGAUUGAAGAGAAAGUGAUGACUUUGGUUAAAAAAAAAAAAAGAAGCAAAAACGUAGAGGUAGAAAACCAAUCAUAUCUAAAGGUGUGGUGUCUGGUGAAGAAGCAAAGAACGGAUGAUCGUAUUGUUAAUGGUUCCCUUACUGACUCUGUCAUUGGGAAUCGCAAGUAUAGUGAAGGAAGCUAAGGAAACAUUUCAAUUUGCGAAGCUGCUCGAGGUGAAUGCGAGUGAUAGUGAGGAUUUAAUUAUCAUUGAGGAUCAAGAAGCUGGAGUUUCAGAUAUGAGUACGAAGAUGUUUCAUCUCUAGAAAAUGUUUGGGGUGUUGGGAAGGUGUCAUAAAGUAGGGUAAUCAACGUUUUAGUGUUGUGUACCCAUUUAUGAUAUGGUGAUGAUGCAUGUUUUAUGCAAUACAAAAUUGUUAAGGUGAAGGAAGCUCACUGAAUUGAGUUUGCGACUUUCUUUGUCCUGACUUGGGUUGUGAAUAAUGGGGUUGGUUUGGAUAUCCCUUUAUGUUUUUCUUCGGCAGGGAUCGUUUUGGUGUUACUUUUGAGACUCUUGAUUUGUAUGUUUUUUGGUGUUUAUUUUGAGGUGGGUCACAUAUGUUGAUAUUGCAUUUGGAUUUUUCCUACUCUACUUUCUAUGGAUAUUACUAAAAUUUUAUUUUUUGUCACUAAAAAAACUAUAAUUAAUAAAAAUUUGACACAUGAAUAAUAUAACAUUACAUAAAAAUUUAAAUAAAAUAAAAUAACUAAUUCUAAACAACAUAAAUUUAACUUUAAAAAAAAUUUAAUUUCAUUGUUUGAGACCUUUGUUAGAAGAGAUAAGUUUAACUUUGAAAAAAAAUCAAUUUCAUUGUUUGAGAUUUUUCUUAGAAGAGAUUUGAAAAGUAAGGCAGUAAUAGGUUUGUUCUUGUAAUUUUAACUCAUAAUUUUUCCAUUUUUUAAAAAACCCUAAAUUUGUCAAAAUAUUUUGAAAUUUAUACAUGUCGAAGUUUUUUAAAUUUUAUGUCUCUUAACUUGAAUAGAAAGUUAAAUAAUUUAAUUUCGACUACCAUAAUAUUCUCUGAAUUAUGUUUCUAAAAUAUGUGGGUUCAUGUUAAGCAAAGAAAGUGAAGUUUUUUAAACAACAUUUGGUUCAAAUUAAGAUCAAAUUUCUGUAAUUAGGAUUUCAUGUGUAGCAACUUUAAUUUCAAGUGAGAAAGAUGAAUUUAGUAUUUAUUUUAAUGGAGAAUAUGAUAUAUUUUUUUCUUAUGGAAGUGGUUUAUUUACUUCCUUUUAUUAACUAUACCUGGUUUAGGUUUAAGUUUAGUUAUUUGUUUUUUUUUAUAAUUUAAUUUAAUUUUUUUUGUUUUAUUUAGUUUCCACAUAAUUAUAUAUUAUCCAUAUGGAAUUUAUGACUUGGAAAAAGAAAAGUUUCCACAUGUUGAAUUUUAAUUGGUUAGUUUAGCAUUCACUAACAAUGUUAAUUCCAGGUACUAUAAUAACACACAAAUUCAUAGUUUAGGUACUACAUUUGACAUUUUCAAAGUACAGGCAUUAUGUUGGACAUUUUAUGAAAGUACAUGUAUCAAAUAAUACACAAAUUGAUAAUACAUAUACCAUAUUGGACAUUUGAUAAAAGUACAAGCAAACGUGAUAUUAUCCCUAAUGUAAAAUUUUGUUUUUAGGUUAAAAUAUGUUAUAAGUCUUUGUAUUCUUCGUAAAUUUGAAAUUUAAUCCAUAUACUUUUAUUAAUUUAAAAUUCAUAUCAAAUUGUUAUGAUUGUUAAAAUUUCUUUGUUGAAUUUGUUGGUAUGACAUUUUGAAAUAAUAAAAAUACUUAUUUGAUAGUCAUGUAACUAAAAAAAUUACCGAAUUCGAUAAAAGAAUUUUAAUGGCGAUAAUAAUUAGACUUGCAUUUUUAAAUUAGAAAUUAAAAAAAACUAAAUUCCUUGAAAGAAAAAUAAAAAAUUAAAUUUCAAAUUUAUUAAGAAUAUAUAGACUGAGUAAUUUAAUAUUUAUAUGUUUAAUUUUGAAGUAAAUAGUUAAUUUUUGGGGGGUGAAUUACACAAGAGAAGGGAAAGACCCUAAUAGCAACACGACUAACGUGACUUAAACUCAAAUCACACCUGAAAUAAUAAACACCCUAAUUAUUAGAUCAAUACAUGAAUUUAAAUAAUUAAAAUUUUAACUAUCCGUAAUCUUAGAUGUUAAAAUGAAAUUGCGUUACCAUAUUUUGAAGUAACGAAAAAAAAAACAGAAAUUUGCAAUUUCUAAAUCUUGAAAGUUUUUUACCAUUAUAUUUUUAUGUUCAAUUGUAGUACAAUGUACAGAUCGAUCUAAUUAAUUACUUCAUUCGUAUUAUCAAUUUUAUUAAAGACUAGCUUGUGUUUAUCUGUUGGGGAAAAAAAAGGUGAGAAUGUGUUGUAAUUUUCGAAAAUAUAAAGUACCUCUCCGACUGGACCACACACAUGAAAUGAAAGUAAUUAUGUAUGAAAAUUGAAAAUAUAUGUUAUGUGCGGCAUGCAAUUACGAGGUUCAUUCACACUAGAGCAGGGCCUUUACGAAUGUGACAUAUGGCCGACCUUGCUUUUAAUGGAGUUGGAUGCUUUCUCUUCUUCAUCAAAUGCAUGUAUGUCAAUGCUUUUCUUCCUCAUUUUCAACAAAAUAAGCUCAUUAAAAGAUUAAAUGUCAUUUUCAAUAAAAAAUUUCUUUGAGAAUGACCUUUCUUGAUGUUUUGAUAUCCAAGAGAAAAACCUUUGUUGAGGUAUUCAUAUCCAUUCUUAUUUUGAGAAAAAUGAAUCAUUGUUUUUGGUUGGGCUUUUUCAUCUAAAUAAUAUAAAAAAUAAAAUUAAUAACUAAAAUAAUAUGCUUAUAAGAUUAUUUACUAAAAUGGUAUAAUUUUAUUGGUGUCGUCUGUCAAAUUGGCAGCACCGGAUUCAAAUGCAAUGAUCUAAAGUAUUUAGAGACUUGAUAUGCAAAUUUACCCUUUUGAGUGGCUACUAAAAAAAAGUGAAAGGGUGCCUCCUAACGGUGUGGCGGCACCAAACUUUAAAUGUGACUAAUUACCUUUUAAGCUCUCUUUAUUUAUUAUUUUAUUUUUAUUCCCCUUCAACUCACUACAUUGUAUUUAAACAAGCCCUCAACCUAUUUUUGUAGUUAAAUAAGCUCUUAAUAUAUGAUUUUUACUUAUAAAAGCCUUUUAUUUUAAUAUUAAAGUAAAUAUAUUUUGAAUUUCAAGCUCUUAUCUUUAUUUUUUGUUGAUGCAAUAAAAAUUAUAUACACUUUAACAUCAACAUAAAAUCUAAAAAAGUAAUCAAAAAUUUUAAAAGAGUAGUUAAGAAAAUCAUGUAUUUAAGGACUCUCGAGAAAUUUUAAAAUUUUAUUUUUUUAUUUAAUAAACUAUUCUCAUCAAAUUCACAUAAACAUAAAAUGCGAAUUAGUUUAUAUAUUUUUAAAUAGCUAUACUUUGGGUAAAAUAUAUUUACUUUAAUAUUAAAAUAAAGGGUUUUUAUGAAUAAAAAUCAUAGGUUAAGAGCUUAUUUAACUACAAAAAUAGGUUAAGGGCUUGUUAUUGUUUUUACAAAAAAUAAUUUUUAAUAACAACAAUAUCCUAAACUAACCUCUUUUUUUUUUAUAGAAUAUUAGGCGUGAGAAUGAGGUAACAUAGUUCGAAGUCAUGCUAAAAAUUGUUUAACAAACAUUAUAGGUUCUGAUUAUAUAUAUGUUCUUUUUGACAUAAUGCUUAGAACUUAUAAAAGUUGUGUGACCCAAAUUCUAAUAGAUUGCUUGCAAGUCAAGUUAAACAAAAUAUAUUUUUUUCUAGAAGAUUUAGUAUUUAUGAAUAUAAUAUAUUUAGCAUUUAUUAGCAUAAUAUAUUUGACUUUGAUUAGAAUUAGGAUUUUUCAACUUAUAAAUAGAUGUAGUCGAAACUCUUCUUGUAAUCAUUUUUCGAAUUCAAUAUAGUGAAUUUUCUUUUUCUCUGCCCGUGAUUUUUUUCCCAAACGGGUUUCCACAUAAAAAUCUGUGUGUAACGCCCCAAUUUUCGGGAAUUCUGUAAAUGUUGGCAUAGGCUUAAUUAUGUUAGUGGACCUUUAGAAGGCCCAAGCUUAAGAUAGAACCUGGCAAUUUUAGUUAAUUUUUGUUCCAUAAGAAAAAGGGGGUAAAAUUAUGAAAUAGAACCUAUGUGAAAAAUGUUUGAAAAUGCUAUAGGCUAAAUUGAAGUGGCCAAAUAAAUAGGAGUGCAAAAUAGGAGGAUUUGCAUGACAAACCUCACAUUUUACAUGAAGUGGCCAGCCAUCAUGUUGUUGUAGACAAUAUGAGCACUUGAUAUCCAUAAUUCAUGGUACAAAUUGAUAAUGGGUUAGGUAAAUGUUCCAUGAUAAUGGAUUAGGUAAAUAUUCCAUGAUAACGGGUUAGGUAAAUGUUCCAUGAUAAUGGUUUAGGUAAAUGUUCCAUGAUGGGCAUUUCAUGUCUUUUGUAUUAAAGAAUUAAAUGGAUGAAAUAUGAAAUUUUAUUAAAAGAAAAAAGGGGUGAAAAGAAUAAAGUUUGUCCAUCUUUGUUCAUCAUGGCCGAAAGUUAGAGAAGAGAAAGGAGAGGAGAAAGCUCUUGAAUGUUCGGUCACUUGGGGAAGAAAAUUGAAGGUAAGUUCAUGGUAGUUUGCUUCUAUCUUGAUGUUCAUGAGUUCUUCUUGAUUCUACCUUAACUCUUGAAGCAUAUUUUGGUUUUUAGUUGUGUUGUGAGCAUUUAGUCAUGAAUUAAAAUGAAGGAAAUGGUUGUUGUUUCAUGUUCUUCUGAUGAAAAAUGGAAGAUAGGUGAAGUUGAGCCAAACAAAUGAGCAUGCAUGUGUCUUAGAUGCUAAGGGGAAAAAUCAGCUAACAUGUUGUGCUUUAAAAUGAUGAAAUGGAGAUUAUACUUAAGUAAAAUCAUAGAUAUGUGAUGAUUGAUUGGUGAUAUACAUGUUUAAAUAACAAGCAUACAAGUUAGGUGUGAAAGAGUGAUUUGGUAAUAAAUCUGCUUGGGACAGCAGCAGUAAUGUGACUUUGGAAAAUCACCAUAAAUUGUGAGAGAUGAGUUAGAAGGUGAAUAAAUUAUGUAAUUAAAGCUUAAUGAGUCUAGUUUCAAAUGAAAUAAACGAGAACAUAUUUUGAAUUCUGUACAAUGAGAAAUUUGAUUCGUAAUGAAGAGUGGUCAGAUUAGUCAAACAGUGAAACAUGGGAAACUUUGAGAAAUAUCUGGUAUUGAUUGGCUAAACCAAAAAUUCUGAAAAUUUUAUGGAUAGAAGAUAUAUCAGUCUAUUUUCAGGGAAAAUUAAUGGAACUUGAUUUGGAGUUUCGUAGCUCCAGUUAUAAAUAAUUUAGUGACUGUUGCUCAGGAAGACAACUUGUAGUGAAAUUUUGAUUAUGUGGUAAACAUUGACAAAAAAUUUGUUAAUGAGUUGCUUAUUGAUUUCUUAUAAGCUUACUAUGAUCUGUAGGUGUGGUUGGCCGAAUAUUGUAAGGGGUUAAUACGUAGUUCAUAUUUGAAUAGUUAGAUUAACGUGUUAGUAAUCCAAUUGUAGGCGGUUCGUGUGUGGAUCUCGUCAGCAUAUCAUCGCAAACAGGUGUGUAACUAGCACCCUCUUAUAGACUAGAUCGGCACAAGACGAAAAGCCGAAAUGCCGAAAAGCCGGUAUUUUGAGAUCUUACGAGUGUGUGAAUGCUCAUGAGAUUAAUAGUUUGAUGUAUAUGGUAAAUUAAAGUGAUAAGACUGCAGAGUGCGCGAUUCUGUGCAUUUCGAUAUUUUUGGGCUUAAUGGGCCAAAAACGGGAUAACGGGCCAACGGACCCAAAUUGGUAAGAAAACGCGGUAAGUGUUUCUGAUCGUACGUAAAUGGCUAUGUUAUGUAUGAAAACCUUAAGAAUAGUUAAAUUACUUGAAUACCCCUAUGUAUGCAAAACUACCAUUAUACCCCUAGGGUUAAUUUUGACUGAAAAGCAUGACGAUCUGAUUCUGUAUAAUGUAUGCCAUGAUUAUAUAUCAUUGCAUGGGGACUUGGGUUAUACUAUGGAGGAAGCGUCCUGGUGGCUAUGCCAUAAUUAUCUGAUCUGGUGGCUCUGCCACAUAUAUCUGUCCUAGUGGCUAUGCCACGAUUAUCUGAUCUGGUGGCUCUGCCACAUAUAUCUGUUCUGGUGGCUCUGCCACAAUAUCUAUAUCUGGUGACUUCGUCACAAUAUCUGGCAGCCUCGCUGUGAUUUCUGUGGUGUGAAGCGGUUGAGUGGGUCGAGUAGUCUCUCCACAUGGUGUAAGGCUGGUAUGGGGGUGUUAUGGAUGAAUCUGGGUUGGGUUUCUGCAUAAACAUGUAAUAUAUGUUCUAUUCUGUUAUGGGCCUAUGGGCUUUAUUCUGAAUUCUGUUCUAGGCUAAGGCCAACUUAUUCUAUUUUUGUGGUUUGAGCUGAUAUAGGCUAUGGUUGGGUUAAUUUACACACUAAGUUUUCCCAAACUCACCCCUUUUAUUUCCAUCCACGCAGGUAAUCCCCAACCAUAGUGGGCUUGGAGCUGUGAGGGAAUUUGGAGUGGCCACCCGUUCUGAAAGUUUGAUUUACUUCUGGUGAACUGGACAUCCUUUUAAUGACGUUUGAGGUUUUAGGCUUUUAAAUGUAAUAAGGCCGCUUAUUUAUUUUUGAUGGUUUUUAUAUGUUUUAUUAAGAUAGGUAAUAUUUAUAUUUAACUGUUGAAAUUGGAUAGCUUUAGGGCGCGUUUUCAAAAACAACAAUUGGUUUUAAAAUAACACGACAACAAGCAAAGCUUCCUCAAUGAAAGUAUUUUCCAAAAUUAAUCAUUUUCCUAAAAAUUACUUAAUCAAAUCGGUUUCCUAGAAAUAUCCAUAACGUUAAGGUGUGGCAAUGGCGGUAUGCAUGUCUAGGAUUGGAUCCGAAGGGAGCUUGGUACUUAAGCAGUCCGAUGGACUCACCACAUCUUUUCUAGUUUCCUACCUGGUGCACAGCUUCCAUUCACUUUAACCUAUAAUGAAAUUAUCUUUUAAAACACUAAGUAAGUUUUUCUGGAUCAACAAUAUAAAAUGUUUUGAACGCUUCGAUGUGGCAUGUCGGAUCCGGUCAUAACGUCUGGGCCGGGUUUGGGGUGCUAUAUUGUGUGUUCUUAAUUUUUAUUUCUCUUUUCUUUGCGAUAUAUUGUCAUUACCGACGUUCUAUUCUUUACAAGGUGGUAUCAAAGCUUAUGGGUUGUUCAUCUCGAUCACGGUAAUGACAUCUUUGAAGUAUGAAAUUCAGCUGUUGGAUUGCAACACCAGAUUUGCGUUGUGGAAGAUUAAUAUGCAAGCAGUUCUUGCGCAGAUAGAUCUAGAGGAUGCCCUGCUAGGGAUAGAUAAGAUGCAUUCAACAUUAAUGGAUGAAGAGAAAAAGCGUAAAGAUCGAAAGUCAUUAACACAAUUAUAUCUGUAUUUGUCUAAUAAAAUUUUGUAAGAUGUGAUGAAGGAGAAGAUCGCCGCUGUAUUAUGAAAGAAGCUGGAACAAAUAUGUAUGUCGAAAACUCUAACCAGCAAGUUGUAUAUGAAGCAACGUCUUUAUGCUCUCGUUUGGAGGAAGGUGCGUUUGUUCACGAACAUUUAACAGUGUUUAAAGAAAUUUUCUCAAACUUGGAAGCCAUGGAGGUUCAGUAUAAUAAGAAAGAUUUAGGGUUGAUUCUACUUUGUUCGUUGCCUCCGUCUUAUUCAAUUUUUAGAGACACGAUUUUAUAUAGUUGUGAGUCUCUCACAAUUAAUGAGGUUUAUGAUCUUUUGACCUUGUAUGAUAAGAUGAAGCAUCUUGUGGUUAAACCAGACUCUAAGGGAGAGGGUCUCAUUGUUCAUGUGAGACAAGAUCGAAAUGCUGAUGAUGAUCGUGGAAGGAUACAGGAUCGGAAUCCUCAUAGUAUAUUUUAGGGUAGAUCGAAGUCUUCAAAUAAAGGUAAAACUUAUAACUUUUGCAAGAAGAAAGGGCACAUUAAAUCUGAGUGCUAUAAGCUAUAGAACAAGAUCAAAAGGGAGGCUGCGAAUCAAAAGGAAAAAUAACCAGAAAAUUUCGGUAAAGCUGAUGUUGCAGAAGACUACAGCGAUGGUGAACUUCUAGUCGUUUCUGUCAAGAAUUCUAAAGUGAGCGAGGAGUAGAUCCUUGAUUCGGGUUGCACCUUUCACAUGAGUCUCAAUCAGGAUUGGUUUACAACUUACAAAACAGUGUUUGAAGGUGUUGUUUUGAUGGGAAAUAAUGCUUCGUUUAAAAUUGUAGGUGUUGGAACAAUUAAAGUUAAGAUGUUUGACGAAGUUGUCAGAACACUUAGUGAUGUGCGACAUGUUUCAGAAUUAAAGAGAAAUUUAAUUUCGUUGAGUACUCUUGAUUCAAAAGGGUAUAGAUACACAGCUGAAAGUGGGGUUUUGAAUAUUUCCAAAUGUUCCAUUGCUUGAUGAAAGGGCAAAGAAAGACUGCCAAGUUAUAUGUUUUGCAGGAUUCUACUAUUAUUGGUGAUGCAACUGUCGCUUCCUUUUCCUUUUCAGAUGAUGAUAUUACUAAACUUUGGCAUAUGCGUCUAGGGCAUAUGAGUGAGAAUGACAUGAAAAAAUUGACCAAAAGAGGACUUCUUGAUGGGCAAGGAAUUUGCAAACUGAAUUUCUGUGAGCAAUGUGUUUUUGGAAAGCAAAAAAGAGUUCGAUUCACCAGAGGAAUCCAUAACACGAAGAGAACGUUGGAGUAUAUUCAUUCUAAUCUGUGGGGGCCAUCUAGAGUGCCUUCAAGAGGUGGAGCUAAUUAUAUGCUAACCUUUAUUAAUGAUUUUUCUAGAAAAGUUUGGGCGUUCUUCUUGAAGCAGAAAAGUGAUGUGUUUUCCACAUUUAAGUCUUGGAAAAUUAUGAUUGAAAAAUAGACUGGAAAAUAAAUAAAAUACCUCCGUACAAACAAUGGAUUAGAGUUCUAUUUUGAUGAGUUUAAUAGAUUGUGCAAGUCAGAAGGGAUCGUAAGACACUUAACAAUUCGCCAUACUCCAUAGCAAAAUGGCGUUGUAGAACGAAUGAACAGAACGAUCAUGGAGAAGGUUCGAUGUAUGUUUUCAAAUGACAACUUAUCAAAGUUGUUUUGGGCCGAAGCAACCUCUACUGCAUGUUUUUUGAUCAACCGAUCCCCAUCCGUUGCCAUUGAGAAAAAGACUCCACAAGAGGUAUGGUCUGGUAAUCCUGCUAAUUAUUCUGAUUUAAAGAUCUUUGGGUGUCCUACGUAUACUCAUGUUGAUAAUGGAAAAUUGGAACCGAGAUCCAUUAAAUGUGUUUUUCUUGGUUAUAAAGUUAGUGUAAAAGUGUAUAAGUUAUGGUGUCUUGAAAAUAAAAAAGUUGUAAUUAGCAAAGAUGUUGUUUUUGAUGAAACUGCUAUGCUACCUUACUUAUCUCUUAAAGACUCUUCCAAUAAAGAAAAUCAAAAGCAGGUGGAGCAUCAGAUUACUACAGAGUCGACUCCUCAAUCCAGUACAAAAAUUGAGAAUAGAGUUGCUUAUUCACCGCAAUACUCUAUCGCCAAAAACAGAACUAGAAGAGAAAUUAAACCUCCAAAGAAGUAUGCUGAGGCUGAUCUAGUUAGUUAUACUUUAAAUGUGGCUGAAGAUAUAGAUGCGAAUCAAGAACCAUCUAAUUAUUCCGAGGUGAUUAGUUGUGAAGACUCAGAAAAGUGGAUGUUUGCUAUUGAAGAGGAGAUGGAAUCACUCCACAAAAACAGAACAUGGGAUCUUUUAAAACUUCCUAAAGGUAAAAAGGUUGUCCGUUGUAAAUGGGUAUUUAAAAAGAAAGAACGGACUCUAGGAGUUGAAGAACCCAGAUAUAAAGCAAGGCUUGUUGCAAAGGGUUACAGUCAAAUUCCAGGAGUGGACUUCACAGAUGUGUUCUCCCCACUUGUUGAGCAUAGUUUGAUUCGAGCUUUGCUUGGUAUUGUGGUCAUGUAUGACUUGGAGCUUGAGCAGUUAGAUGUAAAAACUGCAUUUUUGCAUGGAGAAUUUAAGAAGAAUAUUUACAUGUAACAACCAGAGGGUUUUACAGUCUCAGAAAAAGAGGACUACGUUUGCUUGCUUAAAAAGUCCCUUUACGGUUUGAAACAGCCACCAAGACAGUGGUACAAGAGGUUGAUUCCUUUAUGACUUCUCACGAUUUCAAAAGAAGUAGUUUUGACAGUUGUGUUUACUUUAAGAAAAGCAGUGAUGGUUCUUUU
rnacentral:lncRNA from 1 species